UGUGGUAUUUGUGGUAUGAGGCAUAGUGAUAUUGCCUUCUCUCUCACCCUACUCUAAUAAGGUUCUGAUAUCUGGAGCUCAUAGGUGGGAGAGAGCUAAUACAUACUUACAAGACAUUUAUUGCAUAGUCAAACCAUGGAUCCAGAGAAACAAGUCAAUAAGCCAAAUCAAGAUGUGCAUGUGUGGCGAAUGAAUGUUGUAUGGUAAUGAUGGUGAUAAUGAUGGUGAAAGUCUAAUUCUACUUUUGCUCUUUUGAGGGGAAACAUACCUUUCUUGCACUCUGAAGCUUUUUGGGGAGAAUGAGAUGCUCUAUAUUUUAUUUCCUCUCAGGCGGGUAUCUUGUACCCCUAAUUCUACUGUCGGACACUUGUCCAUUUUUACCUCUCGUCUCACCUUUUUUUCUUUUCUUCCGAGGUUCCGGGCACUUGCCCCUUUUUAUUUCCUCGUAUAUUUUUUAGAGCACUCAUCUCCUUAAAUAAUAUAGCAAGUGGUAGUAACCAAGAUAACUCGAGCAUGUAUUUCACAGGGAAUAACAGGGAUAGGAAAAUAUUUUUGGCUCUUCUCUCCCGGAUUAGGAGUAGAAUAAUUUUGGGUGAAUGUGGAGAUGGAAAUGAGUGGAUAUAUGUGGAUGGUACUUCCGGAGUAGAAGUAGCAUGUAUGAGUGAACGUGCAAGUGAAUCUUGAUUUUAACCACAUGACAAGCUCCUAAGGGUCUACACAGCUUGACCACACUCAAUGCUCAUAAGCAGUAAAAAGUAAAUAUGUGGCUCAAAGUCUAGCAAGCAUGUAUAUAUGGCUGUGGUAGGAUUUUAAACUCUAGGAACUCAUCAUGUGUUAUUUUAAAGAUUUUUUUCAAAGAUAAAAUUCUCCAAAAUUCUAGCAUCUCUAGGAACAGAUAAACAGCAGCUCAACCUUCCCAUAUCAUAUCCGUUAACGACUUAGACUUUAGAUCAAGUACUCUUCCCACAAGUUUAGGUUUAGAGCAAGCUUUAAAUUAUAACAGUUAUGCCUAAACUUGAGAGAGAUUUCAAUUUUAAGAACUAGUCAUGGCAGAGCAACUAUUUAUCAUUUCCAUGAGAGAGUUUAUCAUGAGUGUUCAUAGCAAACUUUAUUUAUUUAUUUAUUUAGCAAAUUAAGCAAAGAGAUAUAUAUAAGCAUAAAAUCUUUAUUUGGUUUUUCCUGGUUUAUGUAUAUUUAUAUUUUAAUAUAGUAUAAGUAUAAAGAUAGAUAGAUAGAUAGAUAGAAAUACUUAUCGGGAUAAAUGGGGGUGCUCUCCCCCAAGCUGAAUUUUGACGUAAUUUCUCUUGAUGUAGUUAGCAGGUGGCAGAGGUGUACUUGAAAGUCAGCAGCAUUCUGACAGCGAUUAAAAUGUCCUCCGUCUGCUAGUCUUCUUGAUUCUUAAAUCCUGUGGAGCUCAAAUAGACAACAAAGCUUUGUGGAACUGGUUAAGUGUUAGCAUAAAUACCUAGCCUUUAUCAUGUUGAGCCUCCUCAAUAAAUGUUAUUUAUUUAGCAGGAUCAUGCACUUAUUAUUUUUAUAUUUUUUAUUGUAAAAUGAAAACUUAUUUAUUUUAUUUUUAUGCCACCACAGUGAAUGUACUUAUGGGUUUUAUGCCAUGAGCAUACUCACAUAGGGCUUACUAUUUUUUUAACAUUUUUUUAUUUUCUUUUCAAGAUAACAUGAACCUGAUUAACUAAGCAAACUAUAAUUGAAUAAUUGAAAGGAAAAGGAUAACUACCAAGUUUACCUCUUGGCAAGGCGUUCGGUGUUUUUAAGUCCUCCGAACGGGACUCCUUGUGUUUUCAGUCGUCCUGGGAUUCGUUAGGUGGCGUAGUCGGUGAUUCCGGCGGCGCCUCUUCUUCGUGUAUAACUAUCUUCUCUCUCCACAUCUAACUCGGUGCUACGGUCUCCUCAGGACAGUUAUGUUCAAGUGGUAUGUCUUCAGUCCUUAUCACUUCUCCUUCGUAGUCUACCCAUCCGUCCUUGAUGAUUUGCCUCCUCCGGUUGCGGUUGCGUUGUCUUCUUCUUGUCCUGACCUGCUUAGAGUCUUCAACUAUAUAGUUAGGGUCAGUAAAACAGCGGCAUACCUUCUCAGAGGAGAAGUGUAUGUGGACUUCUCCGGUUCCAAUAUAGAUGAUUGCUUUGAUAGUGUUGAGGAACGGUCUUCCAAGGAUGGUGGGUGGAUCAUACUCGUCUUCUCCCAUGUCAAUGCCCUGAAAAUCAUCUGGAGCUGAAUGUAUGUUGGUUGUAGGGGCAUGGUUCCAUGCAGGAGCUGAUAAGUGACUACGGCCAUUAUGUUGACGUCAGAUCUGGUGUCGUAGAGUGUCUUCUAAAAAGAGUAUCUGUUGAUUGUGCACUCAAUGCUUGGAACACCAAGGUCGUCCUUCUUGAUCAAGAAAGGUGACUUGAGUCUUGACCUCCUUGAGCUGCAGUGACCAUCUUAGGUGACUCGGUCCACAUUUGCUUGUUCCUGUUCCUCCUAUUGGUCCUCUUCCUUGGUUCAUGUCGGGAUUGCUCUGAAAUUUGUGUAGUCUUGUUCUUGAAGGAAAGUCUCCUUCUUCCCCUUGAUGUAGAAACUGAUCUUGGCAGCAUUAGCGUAGAUGACACCUCUGGUGUUUAGGAAUGACCUCCCUAAGAUGAUGGGUGCCCUCUCCUCAGUACCAGUCUCUUUCACCACGAAAUUUGCUGGAGCGUACAAGGUACCAACUCGGACACAGAGGUUCUUCAAUAUUUCCUUUGGGAAACUAAGUGUCUGAUCUCCAUUGUGUUUGUGCUCGUAGAUCCCGGUUCUUCACUUUGUGGAAUCUGGGAGUUGUAAAACUCCUCCAUGUUUUGUUUGAAGUGUACCUAUUCAUGGAGACAAGGCAGAGAUCAAGUGCAUGGGCCCUGUUGGUGGAAAACACCAACAGAACCAAAAGUGUAUUUGUUCUUCUCUAACCUUAAGCAUAGUGAGCAAGGCAAAGUUGAUGGAUCAUGAGUGUAGCAUUUAAAACAUUUGUUAGAUCAGAUGGCUCAACCUAAUGGAAAGAUAAUCUAUCUAUAUUUAUGUUUUGUUUAUAUCUUCCAAAGAUUGAAUGUGCAAUACUUUAGCUUAUAUGAUUAGGAGUGUGGGAUCACGAAGGUAGUACUAAGAACAAAGAUUAAAGGACUAAACAUGCUGAAUUAGUUGAGUUGGUUAAUUUGGAGUUAUAAAUCAUACAUGUUUGUCUCUUUUAUUCAUGUGUAUGUCAGAACUAAGGAGAACUUAUAAAAGUGAUAAUCAAGUACUUUAAGAUGUUAUUGAAGAGUGAUGGUAUAGUAUCACCUUGUGGAAGCUUUCCUUUCUUAGUGGUUGUGCAUCGUGUUUGUGGCACCCUCCAUGAAUCAUCUCUUAUGAGCUACGUCUUUCUUGUGCAAAUUGUUAAACUUCAUGUGUCACUUUCUUCAUCUCCAAUGUGAGUUUAUCUCAGGACUUCCCAGGUUGAUAUUGAAAGUUCUCCUGCAGGGGUUAGUCCCACAAAAUAUACCAAUAUCUACUCAAGUAGUUUUUAGUUCAGUAACCAAACUAGACUCCAUGUCUAAUCAGAUUAAGGAAGGCUAUUUAACCUAAGCACCACGCUUAAUUUAAAUGCCAUUGGAAGUGUGUCCAGUACUUCCAAACUAACACUUACUAGGAUAAACAAAGGUAGUAUGAUGGCUUUUAUAGAGAUCUACUCAAGUGGAGAUGAAGUAGUGUGAUUAGUAUUUAACAAAUUGAGCAUGUCUCAAAGGUAAGGACAACCAACAUAGUAACAUGGCAAAGGAUGUUUUAUGUAAAGUACUCCUCCAAGCUUGAAUUUUGCAAAAUUCAAGUUUGGAUGAAUUUAAUUCAAUGUUGCAUGAUGAUUGGUUGGACAUACCUUGUGCUUGUCAUUCCUCAAAUCUUCUUGCUCCAAUCCUAGAAAGGUUAGUGACACGAAUACCCGAAGGAAUAUUUCUACAAUUAUCUUUAUAUGCUCAAUACACAAGGCAAUGUUGCAAAUAAUUAAAAGUUCAUGUUAUGAUGUGAUAAGUGCUUGAUUUAGGACACUAAGCUUGUCCUUGGGAAACCAUCAAUUAACUCAGCGAGAUCUGCAAUAUUUAUUAUAGACAUAUGCAUCGACAACCACUCUUUUAAAGUUUUUAUAAAUAGAUAAGAAGAGAGGGUUGGAGAUCUCAAAUGUGGUAAUGUUGGAGAGACUAAUUGAUUGGGGAGAUGUUGCAUAUGAGCAUGGACUUGGUGAGGUAUUUAUGAAAUAACUUCCAUGCUCACUGUUGUUUCUCUCAUUCUCAAACUCCAAGGAUGAUUCUUCAUGAAUAUUUAAAAUUCCUCUAGGAUUGUCUCUUAAGUUUGUUUUAUCUAUCCAUUCAAUGGUGAUAGCACAUGGAUUUUUAAUGCCCUCUAGCCAUUGAUGUUGCUCCUCUCGAUCCUCCUUGUGGUCUUGGUGACUCUUAUGCAUGGGAUGUCUAGAUAGAUUUAUAGGAUUAUUGGGAGGUUCAAGAGAAAGAGCAUAGUAGAAAUUAUUAAGCUCAAGGAUGGGUUGGAUAGCCGAAUCAUGGGAUUGGAAUGUUUGGAAAUUGGCUAUUGAAACUUCCUUUCCUCGUCUGGGAGAUGAUUCCUUCUCUAUCUCUAAGAUUUUUCUAUGAAGAUUAGUGCAAGAAGGAUGUCCACGAAUGAAGACAUACCUUCCUUUACUAAUAGAUAAAGAAAGAAGGACUCUACCAAAAGUUAUAUGAUUAAGACCAAUGUGAAAAUAUCUAGGAAAAACAUGGUCUUGUUGGGCUAGGUCUAAACCAGAAUUUAUAGAAAAAUUAAAAGACUCCCUAGGUGUAGCUAAAAGUGCAUUAUCUUUUUGAUUAAAAGAUAGGACCUCGGCUAUAGAAAAGGGUUGGUUUUGACCUAUUGCAAUCAACUCCGGACACAUAUCAUAAUUAGGCGCAGGACGUGUUGACUCCCAUGGUCUAUGGCUGGUCUCCGAAGGUGCAAAGAAUUCAAUAAUAGGUAUGGAAUUUGAGUUAUCCAUAAAGAUAAAAAUAAAUAGAUAAAAGAAUAAAAGUAUAAAAGUAUAAUAUAAGAUAAUAGCAAGAUUCAAAGUUAUCUCAGCAAACCGUCUUUCUCCCCGGCAACGGCGUCAGAAAUGCUUGUUGAUAUUUGGUAACGCAAUUAGAAAAUGAUCCGCAAGCGCACGGAUAUCGGUGAGCAUUUCACCCGGGAGGUUUUCUAGAGUAUCGUAUUUAUAUUUUUACCACUGGGAGAAAGGGUGCAUCUGACUAACCAAAUCUAUUGCUACUACCCCUUUAGGCUACAAAGAAUGUCUCUCGAUGUGAGUGAUGUAUAGAGAAGACUGCAACCGUAGUCUCGUUCUAACCUUGGUAAGGAUGAUCUACUGUUCUAUUGGGGAGGCUCACGGAAUCUAGACAACACAAAGGAUGUUCGACCCGCACCUAUAAACCUACCAGUCCUGCUAACGAGAUGUGAUCUGCAAAGGUAACUCGGAAAUGUCACGUUCCUCGCUACUACCACGGUCCAGCUAGUCAGGGGAUAUCUAUGAGUACCCUAGCCUAAACACCACGUUUACGCUAGCAAGUGAUUACUCUAAUACCUCGACUCUAUCUCUCUCAAUCUAGUAGAAACUAGAAGAUCUAUUUCUACUUUACAUUGGUUGCUAAGCCUAAAAAGAAAUAUUAUUUAGAGAAGAGGUUUUCUUUCGAGGGCACCCCUCAAUCUCUAUGAUAAUUUCUUGUCUUCUCCAGGGGCCAGGGGGGUCUCCUUAUAUAGUCCUCCUCCUCUAUGCAUGUUUGGUUCAGCAGGCGAUGUGGUACUAAACUUUCCACCAUAUCUCAUUAAAAUACACAUAGGCCUUCAUGGACCAAAAUCUGAUUUGGGCCCAAUUAAUCCCGCAGCUCUUUUAUGUGGAGUCCUUCUUUUAUUAAUAUCUCUUGAUUCCGAACUCCAAAUAUAGCAAAUAAUAUAUGCAUUUCGAUCAGCUCGACGAGAUCUUUGUAAUGGUGUACUCCAUUCUGUGAUUGGUGGAAACACCUGGGCGGGCGCCCAAGGGGAUUGGGCGGGCGCCCUGCCCCCGAGCCCGUUCGGUCUCCCGUUCGUUCCCAUGGCUUCUGGAGUCUUCUAGAUGAUAGAAAAUUGCGCGGCACGUUAAUAUCUCUAUGUAAUCCCGACGUGUGGGCCUUUCUUCCAUAUUUCCUGAUAACCCCCUGCAGAAAUAGACAAACACCAAAACUCGUGGAAUUCUGUCAGAUAAAACCCUAAGUCUAGAUGUUGAUUUCAUUUGGAUCCUUUUCUUUGUUUAUUUGAUAAUUAAAUUUGAUACUUAAGGACCGUCAACAGUUGCGUAUAAAGAGUGUCUGUAUAUAUGCCACCGACUAUACCGUUAGAACUUUCUUCUAGGUUUGGAAAGGACGUAUGGAACGUGCAUGCAUCAUGAAUCAUUCAUACAUUCUUUAUACAAUACUUGGGUAUUAAAUUCUAAAAAUAUGGUUCUUUAUCUCUCCUUGUAAUUAAUCUCCCUUACUCAAAUGUGGUCUUUCUACAGAUGGCAGCCCCGCACGCGAGUGAGACUUUUCUAGACAUGUUUGGCACUCCUACUUUGCUGCGGAGGGUGCUAAGUUCAGUUGGAUAUGAGGAACCACCUAAGUACACUUGGACCGAGGCUGAGCAUGCAGGAGCCUUACCUUGAGUAGAUGUCCAAAUUACAGUUCCCCCUUGUCCAAAUAACCCACAGUGGCUAGGUUGGUUAGUUGACUGUGUUAGCCAAACUCCUUGGGAGGGUGCCCAAGUAGCAGCCCUGGAGGUUUUGCUAGAGAUUUGCCAAGAGCAUUGUGAUGAGCUAGUGAAUGGCCCAGCGGGAUCCGUUCCCAGAGUGAGUGUGACUGACACAUUCGUGUCCCAGGUUGGGAAUGAGUCCUUAGAGAUGAGAGAAACCUUGCUAGGAUAUAGUUCUAGCCCUGCCAUGAGUGCCAUGCUAGCAGUACUUAAGCUGUACUAUGUACGCCAGGACACCUACAUAGAUGCCAUGCUAGCGCUUCAACAAGUUCAAGUUGGGCAGCGCAAACUGCGCAAGCGCGUGCGCAAGCACCACAAGGCUUUUAUGGAUGCCCAAGCUGAAAUCCAAAACUAUCAUACUGCUUUGCAAGCUCGCCGCAACCAAGUUGAGAAUGUAGUUAGAGAGCGCAAUGAGACACAAGCCCGCAUGAUGCAAAUGACUAGAGAGAGAGAUGAAGCUAUGCGCUUGGCUGAAAAUAGAGAAGCUGCUAGAGUUAGAGCCUUGUUCCAUGCUGAAAUUAGAGAGUAGGAGCUGAUCACUAGGAUUGCUGAGCUACAAUUGGAUGUCCACCGUUUAAACAAUAUCAUAAAUCCUAUUCCACAUCCAGCCCCUUUUAAUCAUGAAGAAGCUUCUAGUGAGGAAGAUAAGGAUGAUGGCAUCGUUUCUAAUGGAGACUCUGAGGAAGAUAUGUAGCCUAGCAAUGAUUUUAUGAUCAUGUAUCAGUUUCCAUCUCUUUGUGUAAUGGAUAUGUAAUCUGAAUUUUAGUUGAGACUCUAUGUAUUUGGCCAUGGUGCCCCUCCUGUAAAACUUAAGUUGUGGCAGUGACUCUGUGUAACCCUAUGCACUCAAUUGUGAUGCUCCAUGUUUAUGUUGAGCUUAAAUAAUUUCUGCAGUGACUUUAAUUUUGUGGAGUGUGGCUGUGAAUGAUCGCGAGAAUAACCAAGUGUUGUGGAUAAUAUUCUCUUGUUGUACAUGGAUUAUUGCGCCUUAAUUUAUGUGAAUUUACUUCAUUAAAUUCCGUAUGGCACAAUUGAAGUUCAUGGCAAUUAUAUCUGUUGUCCUAAACGUCACUUGGUAUGCCUUGUGCAGAUGGCUCGCAAUACUCGCUCCGGUCACAACGAGGUGCCACCGCCACCACCUCCUCCCCUGCCUACACCUACUGAGCUAUUGGCAGCUCUUGUUGAGGGCCAGCGUAUGCUCAACGAGGCUAUGCAAACUAUGGCGCAACAGAAUCGGGGUGGUCGCCAUGCCCGCCAAGGCGGAGAGGCAAAUCAGUACAGCAGUUUCAAGGAUUUCCAAGACACAAAACCACCACUUUUUAAGGAGGCUGUCGAACCUCUAGAAGCUGAUGAAUGGCUCAACACUCUCGAGCAGAAGUUCCGCUUGCUGAGAGUGACUGAAGAGCUAAAGGCGGAAUAUGCAGCCCACCAGUUGGAGGGCAAAGCAGGUGUCUGGUGGAGUCAUUACAGGACCAGCUUGCCUGCCAAUGCUGUGGUAACCUGGGACCAGUUCCAAACUGCUUUCAGGAACACUUAUAUUCCACAAGGCUUAAUGACUAUCAAGCACACCGAGUUCAUGAACCUGACGCAAGGCACUAAAAGCUUGACUGAGUAUCUUCAUGCUUUUAACAAUUUGUCUCGCUAUGCUCCUGAGAUGGUUGACACCGAAGCCAAGAAGCUCGCUAGUUUCAAGAGAGGGUUGGGACCCAAGUUGUCCAAGAACAUGGCUGGUAACAAGAGUACCACCUUCAACGAGUUUGUGAGUGAUGCAUUGACUCAGGAAAAUUCUAAUGCUGGGUAUGCCGCAUCCAAGAACCGCAAGAGGGCCUAUGAGACAGGUGCUUCGCAGUCCAAGGCUCCAGUGGCAAGCAAGCCGGCCUAUCGCCCACCCAAUGCUGUGACAAGGUACAGGCCGCCGUAGAAAAAGUCAAAUGUGAAGACGGGAGUGCGCAAGUCCUUCACCGUUGCUCUCCCAAGAGGUGCCACGGGUCAAGGAAGUCCCAAGAAUCCUCCUAAUAACCGCCCUUGUUUCAAUUGCAAGCAAGUUGGUCACUGGGCAAGAGAUUGCCCCUACCCUAAGAGAAAUGCUGCAGCCGGAGCAAAUAACCGUAUGGGUCGUGUGCACUACACCACGGUUGAAGAAAUUCCGGAAGGUGAAGCAGUCACCGCUGGUAUGUUCCUUGUAAAUCAACACCCUGCAGUUGUCUUGUUUGAUUCUGGAGCUUCGCAUUCAUUUAUGAGUCAAGCAUUCGCAUCUAAGCAUGGGCAACAUGUCACCGAUCUUGAUAGUGGAAAAUUUUGCAUUAGUGCUGUUGGUAAUCAAAUUGCUACGAAUCAAGUAGUGAGGGAUGUACAUAUUGCCAUAGAAGGGCGUAAUUAUGCAGCAGAUUUAGUCGUACUGCCAGGCCUAGGGAUAGAUGUUAUUCUGGGGAUGAAUUGGAUGAGCAGGCAUGGGGUGUUAAUAGAUACCUCCACGAGAGUAGUCAUGUUGCGGGAGCCUGAUAGCAAAGAAGCCUUCUUAGUCCAGCUUCCCAAGAAUGAUGACAUUCGUCAUGCUGCCAAUGCCAUUCGACCACUCACUUUAGCAGAGAUUCCGGUAGUGUGUGAGUUUCCGGAUGUCUUUCCAGAGGAUCUGCCCGGGUUGCCGCCGGACAGAGACAUUGAGUUUAAAAUUGAUCUAAUUCCGGGUACCGCACCUAUCUCUAGAAGGCCAUACCGAAUGCCACCCAAUGAAUUGGCAGAGUUGAAAAAGCAAUUGCAAGAACUCCUAGAGAAAGGUCUUAUUCGGCCUAGUUCUUCUCCAUGGGGUUGUCCGGCUCUCUUUGUCAAAAAGAUGGACAAGUCUCUACGUAUGUGUGUAGACUAUCGUCCGCUGAAUGCCGUGACCAUUAAAAACAAGUAUUCUUUGCCUCGCAUUGAUAUCCUGUUUGAUCAAUUAGCCAAGGCCAAAGUAUUCUCCAAAAUUGAUCUGAGAUCUGGGUAUCAUCAAAUCAAGAUCCGACCUGAAGACAUUCCUAAAACGGCUUUCUCUACCAGGUAUGGGUUGUAUGAGUAUUUAGUCAUGUCCUUUGGUCUGACUAAUGCCCCUGCUCAUUUCAUGUACCUGAUGAAUUCGGUGUUCAUGCCUAAACUGGAUAAGUUUGUGGUGGUGUUCAUCGAUGAUAUUUUGGUGUAUUCUGAAAAUGCACAAGAACAUGAGAAGCACCUUCGGAUUGUACUCACUAGACUGCGAGAACAUCAGCUCUAUGCCAAGUUCAGCAAGUGUGAGUUUUGGUUGAAGAAAGUGCCUUUCUUAGGCCAUAUUUUAUCCGAAGAGGGUAUUUCUAUUGACCCGUCAAAGGUGCAAGAGGUUCUAGACUGGAAGACCCCGACUUCAGUGCACGAAGUUCGGAGUUUUCUCGAUCUAGCUAGAUAUUAUCGGCGUUUUAUUCCAGACUUCUCUAAAAUAGCUAAGCCUAUGACCAAGCUACUGCAAAAAGAUGUGAAGUUUGUGUGGUCCGAGGAGUGUGAAGUUGCUUUCACCACUCUACGCCAAUUGCUGACCACCGCUCCUGUUCUGGCACAGCCUGACAUUGAAAAGCCAUUUGAUGUCUUUUGUGAUGCAUCUGGCACUGGCCUAGGUUGUGUACUUAUGCAAGAAGGCCGAGUUAUUGCCUACGCUUCUCGGCAACUGAGGAAACAUGAAGCCAACUACCCUACUCAUGAUCUAGAGUUAGCAGCAGUUGUGCAUGCAUUGAAACUCUAGAGACACUAUCUGUUGGGUAAUCUUUGUCACAUUUACACUGACUAUAAGAGCCUCAAAUAUAUAUUCACCCAACCCGAGCUGAAUAUGAGACAAAGAAGAUGGUUGGAAUUAAUAAAGGACUACAAUUUAGAAGUGCACUAUCAUCCCGGCAAAGCCAAUGUUGUAGCUGAUGCUCCCAGUCGGAAACAACGUGUUAGACCUCUCCUAGAGGAAGGCUUCAAUUUAUUGCAUCCGGUGGUCCUACACAACAUUAUAAUCAGUUGCUCAUUAGAAAGUCAAAUCAUAGAGCUCCAAAAAUCUGAUCCUGGUAUUUUUCAUAUCAAGAGAAAAAUGCAAGAGCAAGACACCAAGCAUUUCCGAGUAGAUGAGAAGGGUGUACUGUGGUUUGACGAUUGACUAGUUGUACCCAAAGACCGUGACCUACGCAACAAAAUUUUAGAAGAAGCUCAUUCUUCCAAGUUGUCCAUUCAUCCGGGUAGUAGCAAAAUGUACCAAGACCUGAGACCUCGUUUCUGGUGGACCAAAAUGAAGAAAGAGAUAGCAGCUUAUAUUGCUAGGUGUGAUACUUGCUGCAGGGUAAAGGCAGUUCACCUAAAACCUGCAGGUUUAUUGCAACCGUUGUCAAUUCCAGGUUGGAAGUGGGAAGAAAUCAGCAUGGAUUUCAUUGUUGGACUUCCCCUUACGCAAAAAGGACACAAUUCCAUAUGGGUGAUUGUUGACCGUUUGACCAAGUCAGCUCAUUUUAUUCCCGUACACUCUACAUACCGACCAUCCGACUUUGCUGAAUUGUACUUCUCUUAGAUAGUUAAAUUGCACAGAGUGCCUCGCACUAUCAUUUCUGAUAGAGGUCCUCAGUUCACUGCUCGCUUUUGGGAGCAUCUGCAUUCACUCCUUGGUACAAAAUUGGUUCGCAGUUCAGCCUAUCAUCCUCAAACCUCCGGUCAGACUGAGCGUGUGAAUCAAAUCUUAGAGGAUAUGUUGAGGGCAUGUGUUAUAUCUUCCAAGGUUGCAUGGGAGAAAUGGCUACCCUUAGCUGAAUUCUCAUACAAGAAUAAUUAUCAAGAGAGUAUCCAAAUGGCUCCUUUCGAAGCCUUGUAUGGCCGCAAAUGUAGAACUCAAUUAAACUGGGUUGAACCAGGUGAAAGGAGGUACUACAGAAUCGACUUUGUCAAAGAGGCUGAAAAGCAAGUUCUCAUUAUCCAACAACACAUGAGAGCCGCCCAAGCUAGGCAGAAAAGCUAUGCUGACCGAAGAAGAAAGCCAAUCGAGUUCGAAGUAGGUGACCUUGUGUACAUAAAAGUAUCGCCCAUGAAAGGAGUAAAUCGCUUUGGCGUUAAAAGAAAGCUUGCUCCUAGGUAUGUGGGUCCCUACCGAAUCAUUGACAAGAGCGGCAAGGUAGCUUACAAAGUACAACUACCUCCCGAAAUGAGAGCUAUUUUCCAUGUAUUUCACGAGUCUCAACUCAAGAAGUGUCUUCGUGUGCCCGAAGAGAGAGUUGAAACAAGAGAUAUCAAGUUGCAGUCAGACCUAUCUUAUGAAGAAAAGCCUGUGCAAGUUCUUGAUGUCAAGGAACGGGUUACUCGUGGGAGAGUGAUCAAACUUUUUAGAGUUUUGUGGAACCGUCAAAAUAAGAGAGAUGCCACUUGGGAAAGGGAAGACUAUUUACAAGUAACUUAUCCCUCAUUCUACGAAAAAUGGUACGUCUUUCAAAUCUCGGGACGAGAUUUUUGUAAGGGGGAGGGCUGUAACACUCCUAGUGUUAGCUUGCAUGUUAACCAUGAGCAUUGCAUCAACACAAGCAUCAUCAUGCUCAUUCAUAAGCAUCUAUCAUGACCACAUGUCAUCUUAUGUAUACCAUGUAUGAUUGAAUUGCUUGUGUGACUUGAAUUGAGUGACUAUAAGGGGUAACCAAUGGAAACAAGUGUACAUUGUCUUCCAAAAUACUUCAAUCAUGUUUAGAAUAUCAUUUGGAGCAAAGUCCAUGUUGAAGGUUUUGGCCAAAAAUGCCCCUAGGUUAGGGUUAAACCUAGAAUGGCUUAAUUGACUUCAUAGACCUCUCUUCAAAGAUAUUUUAUGAAAGUAAUGUUAGAAACAUUGCAUGUCUGUGGCACCUGAAGCAAAGUUGUAGAGAAUUUCAUAAGCUACAAAAGUUAUGUUGAUGACUUUUUAUGAAAAAGCUUAGAACACAUUCAAAAAUUGCUCACAAGCCAAAAAUCAGGGCUGAUUUCAUACUUAGCCGAAUUUGGCUAAGUGUUGGAUCACGCAGUUUCGAGGUAGGGCUGUUUGGAGCCUUGUAGUUUGAAAUCCAGACCGAGUUAGGCUUUGAGAUUGUAAUCAAAGUUGUAGAACUUAUGUAGCUCUGUCCAAAGGAACAAGUUUGAGCUAAAACCAUCGAGUGAGCUGAGAGUAAAACGUCGGUGAACUUUUGGUUUCAGACACGGUCGACGACGACUGAAUCGUGUGAUUCAGUUUCGUCAGUCGCCGGCCGGCCGACGCGUGGAUGACCCGUGGCGGCCGUACGUCGACGGCGGCCCCACCUGUCAGCCCCGGCGCCUUCACUUGGACGCCACGACGCCACCCCGAGCCCCGGCCGUCCUCAUUUCGCCUCUCCAGCGCCCUCUCCCUUCUCCAUUUCGCCUCGGCGAGCUCCGCCGUGGAACGGCCGCGUCGCCCGAGCUCUUCUCGCCGUCUCCGGCCAAGCCAGCCCGCCAAAAGCUUCGCCAGAGUCUCCUCUACCUCGGCGUCACCUCCUUGGCCACCGUCGAGCACGGGAAAGGCGGCAUUGCCGAGCUCCGAGCAGUUCUUCCUCGCCGGAGUUCCGCUCGAGCUCACCGGCAACGUGGCCAGGCCUCUCUACUCCACCAUUUUCCUCCAUUCUUGUUCCUAUCGCUUCCCCUUGGUUCACUGAUGCUCGGCGUGAACCUCUACUGCGUCGCCAUUGCCUGGAUCCGCCAGCGUACCGCCGCGCAGUGCCGCCGCUCCGCAAUUCCCGACGGCGAGCACCCUAGAGUCCAGUAAAGCGCGCGUAAAGUAGGUCAACAAAGUCGCCUUGAUGAGAGGAACACGUAGAUGCCCUUAGAUCCGGCCGAGACCUCAUCGUCGUCGAGCUUCGCCGUCGACGAGCAUCUCCCCUGUCCCCGUCUCACUGACGCGUGGGUCCCGGAUGUCAGUCUCUCGGUUUCACCCCCCCUUGGUCACUGUUGUUACAGAUCUUGUGCUGUUUUUAUAAAAUUCAUAUCUGGAGUUUUAGAGAUCCAAAUGUGGUGAUUCCAAUUUUUCUAGGUUCCAGCAGAAGUCUAGUUUUUAAUAAAAAUAUGAAACAUGCCAUGUUUUUGUAGGAAUAAAUAGAUAUAAAUUAAUCUUGGAUUUUCAGUGGGUAAUUAUAUCUUGAGAUCUGUUGAUCUGCUGGCCAUGCAAAUUUAGGGUGUUGUUACUUAUGUUAUGUAUAGUCUCUGAUAAAUUUAUCAUGAUUUUUGGAAGCAUGGUUGUGGAGUUAAAAAUCAUUCUUGCUUAAAUAGGAGUUUCUUGUGAUAUUUUUAAUAAAUAAGUUAUAGCUCCUUUUGAGAUGAAACUUGCUGAGUGUUGUACUUGUGAGUAGACAAAGCAAGGAAAAAUCUGAAAUCUGUUGUUUGACACUUUUUGAUAGGGUUUCACAUUUAUGCCUUGCAUGCCUAUAAUAACUUGUUAUUUUUAUACCUCACAAUGUGUAUGUGCAAAUGUUCUCAAAAUUUUACAGUGAUCUUAUGUUAGCCUAAGUAGCUCGCUGUAAUUGUCUUAGGAUUUUUGGAACACUUGGAGUAUAUGUUCAUUAAAUCACCUUAAUAAUUAAAUAAAUGAAAAAGGUGAUGAUAGAAAUAGUUUUAGACCUUGCCAUGAUGUUUUCUGGUGUUUCUUAGAUAUGUUCUACCUACUGGUGCAAUUGGAUUGUUCCUUUGAUACAUUUUCAACAUGUGCAAAAUAUUAUUUUUGCUAUUUUUGCCUUUCCUAGAGCAAUUCUGUACAGCUGAUAGCAAAUGAUUAAGAGCUAAUUGAAGAUGAUGUUUUCUGGGAAACUUGUCUACAACAAACUUGUAGCUAACUUACUGAUCUACUUCGUGUCCAAAUUUCAUGACAUUUGGUUGAGUAGUUUGAAAGUUAUGCAUGUUGCAAGUAGCCGCUGCAAAGUGCUUGCUCUCUGGAAUUCCCAGAGCAGCCAGCCAACUUUAUAGAUUUUAGCAUUUUUAAGUGGGGAACCAGUCUGGGUUGUCUAAAAGUGAAUUGUAGAUAAAUUGCUAAGCUUUCCAGAAAGUACUUACUUGCUUAAUUUGGUUAAAAUAUGCUUGAGUUAUGGCUGAAACUUGUGACUGGUUGGUUUGUCUACUAAACCAGUGGCUGAGUAGGAGUAGCUAGUACUUGUUUAACUUGUCUAUUUAGUCUCUCUACUAGAGAAGAAGUAUGCACUUACUUGUUAGUCCUUGAUGCACUUAAUCUUAAGGGUUAUGCUCAUGUUAUACCUUGUUUGUGUCCCUUUUGCUCCUCAUCUUGGCAUCAUACAUUAUAAGCCUCCUACUAUUUUAUUAUCAUGUUCAGCUAUCAAAUGACUAUGGUUAUAUAUAUUGUUGCAUUAAGUGGUAGGCGUUGAUAUGACACCUUUGCUGCAUAAUGACUACCUUGUCCACCUUAAACAAUACCAAAGUAGGUCCAGGAUCGAAGUAAUGCUUAGCCAUGCUUAGCUCGGUAGAAGCCGGGUGAUUUCCUGUCACCUGCGAGAGUUAGGUGGAUGAUGAUCACGGUUGGCUAUAUUUGCUAUCGUGGAAUUUAACCAUGUGCUAAUAAUGAACUUGAGACCGGGCGGGAUGACGAUAGUGCAGCAACAAGGCAUGGAGGUCUUGGGUGUGAAUCUAUCCCCGUCUGUGUCGUUUAAGGACCGAAUCGCUGUACAUCCCCGUGUCAUGUUGAACGCAUGCCUAUCACUUAGUUGGCCGGAUAAGACGUUCUGACCGCGAAGCCUACGAGUGCAACUCCGGCCGGAUACCCCGAUCUGGUUAAAGUGCGCACCCCGGUUGGUAGUAAGGAUGUGCGGGGAGUCAAUGGCGUAAGACCGAGGUGUCAGGUUAGAGUCCUGACCCUGGCAGAUUGGCGGUCCCUGGGGGUGCGGCGCCGUACGGACCCGCGAAUUGGUCCGGAGUUGUGCUAAAGGUGAUCCGAGCUGCCGUCAUGAAGUAUGCUUGGGUGAGUGUUAGGAAUACCCCUCUAGCUGGAUAGGAAUCGAUUCGAAUCGCCGUCUCUCCCGGAUAGUGAGAACUUGACUUGGGCAGCGGCAACGUAGAACUCACUAAAUAAACUUAAUAGUUAUGAUGAGAAUGAUGAUAGCUAUGUGAUAAUCCGGAUAUGGUUAUUAUUGUAAUGUUUAAAGACUCAAGUGUAUGCUUAGAGCAGGUGCUAAUCUAGUGGAUAGUUGCUAAGUAAUAAACUUGCUGCUGAAAUAUGAUAAAUGAAUUACUUAUAACAAAGGCUUUUAUGCAAAAAGUGAGUCAAACCAGUCCACAAAGAUCAGCCUUGCAUACUCCUUGGUGUCACUUUAUUUCUGGUUUAUGACGGGUAAGUCUAGCUGAGUACAUUCUCGUACUCAGGGUUUUAUUUACCCUUGUUGCAGAUGAUGUCGUUUACCACGGCUACUGUGCUAAGUGUCAUCACUCGGCUGCGGAUGAUGAGUAGAUCAUGGGCAUGAUCACCUCCUUUAAAUUCAGUUGUGCUUUUGUUGGGACUUGACCAUGGAACUGGCAUGUAUUAUAAACUGAGUUGGUGUUGCUUCAAAACUACUUUGUUUCCGCUACCGCUAUGGUUUGUAAUAACCUCUUUAAACUCUGAUGUGAUGUAAAACUAUGUUCUGUGAUGAAUGUUGUAACCUGUGAUGGUGAUGCUUGAUCAUGUACGAUCUUGGUUGUAUGUUGGUUGAAUCGAGGUCUUUGAGAUUUCGUCGGACUACCGGGUUUAUAUGGGUUCAAGUCCAUUGGCUUGACUGCCUCCGUGGUCGCUAAUUCACUUGAAUUCUUAUAAAUUGGACGGUUCUGUUACAUGUAGUAUUUGUGGUAUAAGGUAUAGUGACAUUGCCUUCUCUCUCAUUCUUCUCUAAUAAGGCUUUAAUAUCUAGAGCUCAUAGGUGGGAGAUAAAGUAUACAUACUUACAAGACAAACCAUGGAUCCAGAGAAACAAGUCAAUAAGUCAAAUGAAGAUGUGCAUGUGUGGCGAAUGAAUGGUGUAUGGUGAUGAUGGUGAUAGCAAUGGUGAAAGUCUAAUUCUACUUGUGCUCUUUUGAGGGGAUACAAACCUUCCUUGCUCUUUUGAAACUUUUUGAGCAGAAUGAGAUGCUCUACUUUUUCUUGUUCUUUCCUCUCAGGUGGGUAUCUUGUACCUCUAAUUCUACUGUCGGACACUUGUCCAUUUUUACCUCUCGUCUCACUUUUUAUUUUCUUUCGAGGUUCCGGACACUUUCCCCUUUUUAUUUCCUCGUAUUCUUUCUCUUUUUUUAGAGCACUCAUCUCCUAAAAUAAUAUAGCAAGUGGUAGUAACCAAGAUAACUUGAAGAUUUAUCUCACAGGGAAAAACAGAAAUAGGAGAAUGUUUUUGGCUAUUCUCUCCCGGAUUAGGAGUAGAAUACUUUUGGGUGGCUCUGGAGAUGGAAAUGGGUGGAUAUAUGUGGAUGCGUACUUCCGGAGUAGAAGCAGCAUGUGUGAGUGAACGUGCAAGUGAAUCUUGAUUUAACCACAUGACAAGCUCAUAAGGGUCUACACAGCUUGACCACACUCAAUGCUCAUAAGCAGUAAAAAGUAAAUGUGUGGCUCAAAGUUUAGCAAGCAUGUAUAUAUGGCUGUGGUAGGAAUUUAAACUCUCAUAAUACAGGAACUCAUCAUGUGAUAUUUUAAAAAUUUUCAAAGAUAAGAUUCUCCAAGUUUCAAGCAUCUCUAGGAAUAGAUAAACAGUAGCUCAACCUUCCCAUAUCAUAUCCGUUAACAACUUAGACUUUAGAUCAAGUUCUCUUCCCACAAGUUCAGGGUUAGAGCAAGCUCUAAGUUAUAACAGUUAUGUCUAAACUUGAGAGAGAACUCAAAUUUGAAAAUUAGGCAGAGCAACUAUUCAUCAUAUCCAUGCUAGAGUUUUAUUAUUAAGAUUCAGUUUAGCAUAGCAACUUUAUUUAUUUAUUAAGCACACUAAGCAAAAGAUAUAUAAGCACAAACUCUUUAUUUGGUUUUUCAUGGUUAUGUAUAUUUAUAUUUUAAUGUAGUAUAAGUAUAAAUGUAGAUAGAAAUACUUAGCGGGAUAAAUGGGGGUGCUCUCCCCCAAGCUGAAUUUUGACGUAAUUUCUUCUUAUGUAGCUAGCAGGUGGUAGAGGUGUAUUUGAAAGUCGGCAGCACCCUAACAGCGAUUAGAAUGUCCUCCGUUUGCUAGUCUUCUUGAUCCUUGAAUUCUGUGGAGCUCAAAUAGACAACAAAGCUUUGUGAAACUGAUUAAGUGUUAGCAUAAAUAUCUAGCCUUUAUCAUGUUGAGCCUCCUCAAUAAGUGUUAGUCUCUAUUUUUUAUAUUUUCAUUUUUAUAGAGCAGAAAAAAUAUUUAUUUUAUUUUUGUGCCACCACAGUGAAUGUACUUAUGGGUUUUAUGCCACUCGUGUACUCACAUGGGGCUUACUAUUUUUUAACAUUUUUAUUUUCUUUUUAGGAUAGUACGAACAUGAUUCACUAAGCAAACUAUUUAAAUAAUUAAAAAGAAAAGGAUAACUACCAAGUUUACCUCUUGGCAAGGUGUUCGGUGUUUUUAAGUCCUCCGAACGGAACUCUCCGUUUUCUCAGUCAUCCUGGGAUUCGUUGGACGGCGUAGUCGGUGGUACCGGCGGCGACUCCUCUUCGUGUAUAACUAUCUUCUCUCUCCAGACCUGACUCGGUGCUACGGUCUCCUCAGGAUAGUUCUGUAACAGAACCGUCCAAUUUAUAAGAAUUCAAGUGAAUUAGCGACCACGGAGGCAGUCAAGCCAAUGGACUUGAACCCAUAUAAACCCGGUAGUCCGACGAAAUCUCAAAAGACCUCGAUUCAACCAACAUACAACCAAGAUCGUACAUGAUCAAGCAUCACCGUCACCGAUUACAACAUUCAUCACAGAACAUAGUUUUACAUCACAUCAGAGAUUAAAGUGGUUAUUACAAACCAUAGCAGUAGCGGAAAUAAAGUAGUUUUGAAGCAACACCAACUCAGUUUAUAAUACAUGCCAGUUCCAUGGUCAAGUCCCAACAAAAGCACAACCGAAGAUAAAGGAGGUGAUCACGCCCAUGAUCUAUUCAUCAUCCGCAGCCGGGUGAGGACAUUUAGCACAGUAGCCGUGGUAAACGACAUCAUCUGCAACAGGGGUAAAUAAAACCCUGAGUACGAGAAUGUACUCAGCUAGACUUACCCAUCAUAAACCAAAAUAAAGUGACACCAAGGAGUAUGCAAGGCUGAUCUUUGUGGACUGGUUUGACUCACCUUUCUCAUAAAAGCCUUUGUUGUAAGUAACUUAUUUAUCAUAUUUCAGCAGCAAGUUCAUUACUUAGCAACUAUCCACCAGAUUAGCACCUGUUCUAAGCAUACACUUGUGUAUUUAAGCAUUACAAUAAUUACCAUAUCCAGAUUUUCACAUAGCUAUCAUCAUUCUCAUCAUAACCAUUAAGUUUGUUUAGUGAAUUCUACGUUGCCGCUGCCCAAGUUAAGUUCUCACUAUCCGGGAGAGACGGCGAUUCGAAUCGAUUCCUAUCUAGCUGGAGGGGUAUUCCUAACACUCACCCAAGCAUACUUCAUGACGGCAGCUCGGAUCACCUUUAGCACAACUCCGGACCAAUUCGCGGGUCCGUACGGCUCCGCACCCCAGGGACCGCCAAUCUGCCAGGGUCAGGACUCUAACCUGACACCUCGGUCUUACGCCAUUGACUCCCCGCACAUCCUUGCUACCAACCGGGGUGUGCACUUAAACCGAACGGGGUAUCCGGCUGGAGAUGCACUCGUAGGCUUCGCGGUCGGAACGACUUAUCCGGCCAACUAAGUGAUAGGCAUGCGUUCAACAUGACACGGGGACGUACAGCGAUUCGGUCCUUAAACGACACAGACGGGGAUAGAUUCACACCUAAGACCUCCAUGCCUUGUUGCUGCACUAUCGUCAUCCCGCCCGGUCUCAAAUUCAUUAUUAACACAUGGUUAUUUCCACGAUAGCAAAUAUAGCCAACCGUGAUCAUCAUCCACCUAACUCUCGCAGGUGACAGGAAAUCACCCGGCUUCUACCGAGCUAAGCAUGGCUAAGCAUUACUUUGAUCCUGGACCUACUUUGGUGAGGUAUGAGGUGGACAAGGUAGUCAUUAUGCAGCAAAGGUGUCAUAUCAACGCCUACCACUUAAUGCAACAAUAUAUAACCAUAGUCAAUUGAUAGCUGAACACAAAUAAUAAAAUAGUAGGAGGCUUAUAAUGCUCCGGGGCUUACCUUUGAUGUAAGUAGAGGGACGAUGGUCAGGACACUCUGGCAAGUCCUCCUCCUCCUCAGCUCCUUGAGGUAGCUCCCCUUGCUGUCCUUCCGGCUCUGGCAACUCGAACUCCAGCACCGUCACUCCCUUGGGUACACCUAUGUAUGCAUGACAAGGAGAUGAAUAUGGAGAAUGCACAUAUGGUGCAUGAUGCCAAGAUGAGGAGCCAAAGGGACAUAAAACAAGGUAUAACAUGAGCAUAAACUUCUAAGAAUAAGUGAGUCAUGGAAUAACAAGUAAAUGCAUACUUCUUCUCUGGUAGAGAGACUAAAUAGACAAGUUAAACAAGUCCUAGCUACUCCUACCCAGUCACUGGUUUAGUAGACAAACCAACCUGUCACAAGUUUCAGCCAUAACUUAAGCAUCCGUUAACCAAACUAAGCAAUUAAGCACUUUCUGGAAAGCUUAGCAAAUUGUCUACAAUUCCUUUUUAGACAUCCUAGACUGAUGCCCAACUUAAAUAUGCUAAAACAUACAAAGUUGGCUGGCUGUCCUGGAAAAUGCAGAGAGCAAGCACUUUGCAGCAGCUACUUGAAAUAUUCAUAACUUUUAAACUACUCAACCAAAUGUCAUGAAACUUGGACACGAAGUAGAUUAGCAAGUUAGCUACAAGUUUGUUGUAGACAAGUUUUCCAGAAAAUAAAAUCUUUAAUUAGUUUUUAAGCAGUUGCCAUCAGCUACACAGAAAUGCUCUAGAAAAGGCAUAAAUAGCCAAAAUAAUAUUUUGCACAUAUUGAGAAUGUAUCAAAGGGACAAUCCAAUUGCACCAAUAGAUAGAACAUGACUAAGAAACACUAGAAAACAUCAUGGCAAGGUCUAAACUCAUUUCUAUCAUCACCUUUUUCAUUUAUUUAAUUAUUAAGGUGAUUUAAUGAACAUGCAUUCCAAGUGUUCCAAAAAUCCUAAGAAAAUUACAGCAAGCUACUUAUGCUAACAUAAGAUGACUGUAAAAUGUUCAGAACAUUUGCACAUACAUAUUAUGAGAUACAAAAAUAACAAGCUAGCAAAGGCAUGCAAGGCAUAAAUGUGAAACCCUAUCAAAAAGUGUCAAACAACAGAUUUCAGAUUUUUCCUAGCCUUGUCUACAUAUAAGUGCAAUACUCAGCAAGUUUCACCACAAAAGGAGUAACAACUUAAUUAUUAAAAAUACCACAAGAAACUCCUAUUUAAGAAAGAAUUAUUUUUAACUCCACACUCAGGCUUCCAAAAAUCAUGAUAAAUUUAUCAGAGCCUAGUCACAACAUAAGUAAUAACUCCCUAAAUUUGCAUGGCCAACAGAUCAAUAGAUUUCAAGAUAUAAUUACCUCCCAAAAAUCCAAGAUUAAUUUAUAUCUAUUUAUUUCUGCAAAAACAUGGCAUGUUUCAUAUUUUUAUUAAAAACUAGACUUAUGCUGGAACCUAGCAAAAUUGGAACCAUAUCAUUUGGAUCUAUAAAACUCCAGAUAUGAAUUUUUCAAAAACAGCACAGGCUCUGCAAAAACAAUGAACUAGGGGGAGUGAGAGGGAGAGGCUGACACCCGGGACCCGCGCGUCAGAGAGACAGAGACAGGGGAGAUGCUCGUCGCCGGCGAAGCUCAACGACGACGAGGUCUCGGCCGGAUCCAAGGGCAUCUACGUGUUCCUCUCAUCAAGGCGACUCUGUUGACCUACUUUACCCGCGCUCUACUGGACCCUAAGGUGCUCGCCGUCGGGAAUGGCGGAGCGGCGGCGCUGCGCGGCGUUACGCCGGCUGAUCCAGGCAAUGGCGACACGGUAGAGGUUGCGGACGAGCAAGAGCGGCUCAAGGUGAAGCUAUAGGAAGAAGAUUCACGGCCAGAGCUGAACCAGAGAGGUCUGGCCACGUUGCCGGUGAUCUCUGUGAACUCCGGCGAGGUGGAGCUCGCGACGGAGAUGGCAAUGUGACUUCACCGGUGCUCGGCUACGGGAAUGGAGUGGACGCCGAGGUAGAGGACGUCAAGGCGGAGCUCUGGACAGGUUGGCAUGGCCGGAGGCCGGAGACGCGGUGGAACGGCUAGAGAAGCUCGCCGAAACGCGGUGCGUGGCAUCUUGUGGACAACGUCGGGGCUGACAGGCGGGGUCGCCAUCGACGUACGGUCGACAGGUGGCCGGACACACGGCGGCGGACGGUUUCUGUCCAAACUGAAUCGGGCGAUUCAGUCGCCAUGGCCAGUGACUGAAACCCGAUCUUCAACAACGUUUUACUCUCAGCUCAAUCGAUGGUUUUGGCUGGGAUUUGAUCCUCUAGAUAGAGCUACACGAGUUCUAUAACUUUGAUUACACGAGCUUAGUCUAAAUCGGUCUAGAUUUCAAACUACAAGGCUUCAAACAACCCUACCUCGAAACUGUCUCCUUCAAGACUUAGCCAAAUUCGGCUAAGUGUGAAAUCAGCCCUGAUUUUUGGCAAGUGAGCAAUUUUUGGAUGUGUUCUAAGCUUUUUCGUAAAAAGUCAUCAACAUAACUUUUGUAGCUUAUGAAAUUCUCUACAACUUUGUUUCAGGUGUCAAAGACAUGCAAGGUAUCUAACAUUACUUUCAUAAAACAUCUUUGAUUGGAGGUUUAGGGGGUCAAAUAAGCCAUUCUAGGUUUAACCAUAACCUAGGGGCAAUUUUUGGCCAAAACCUUCAACAUGAACUUUGCUCCAAAUGAUAUUCUAAACAUGAUUGAGGUAUUUUGGAAGACAAUGAACAUUUGUAAGGAUUAGUCACCCACUAAGGUCACUCAAACAACUCACACAAGCAAUAUAAUCAUAUAGUGCAUAUAGUAAAUGGCAUGUGAUCAUGGUAUGAUGCUCAUGAGUGAUCAUGAUGAUGCUUAUGUUGAUGCAAUGCUCAUGGUUAACAUGCAAUCUAACACUAGGAGUGUUACAGCCCUCCCCCCUUACAAAAAUCUCGUCCCGAGAUUUGGAAGACGUACCAUUUUUCAUAGAAUGAGGGAUAAGUUACUUGUAAAUAGUCUUCCCUUUCCCAAGUGGCAUCUCUCUCAUUUUGACGGUUCCACAAAACUCUAAAAAGUUUGAUCACCCUCCCACGAGUAACUCGUUCUUUGACAUCAAGAACUUGUACAGGCUUUUCUUCAUAGGAUAGGUCUGACUGCAACUUGAUAUCUCUUGUUUCAACUCUCUCUUCGGGCACACGAACACACUUCUUAAGUUGAGAUACGUGGAACACGGGGAAAAUAGCUCUCAUUUUGGGAGGUAGUUGUACUUUGUAAGCUACCUUGCCACUCUUCUCAAUGAUUUGGUAGGGACCUACAUACCUAGGGGCAAGCUUUCUUUUAACGCUAAAGCGAUUUACUCCUUUCAUGGGUGAUACUUUUAGGUACACAAAGUCACCGACUUCAAACUCGAUUGGCUUUCUUCUUCGGUCAGCAUAGCUUUUCUGCCUAGCUUGGGCAGCUCUCAUGUGUUGCUGGAUAACAAGAACUUGCUUUUCUGCUUCCUUGACAAAGUCAAAUCCGUAGUACCUCCUUUCACCAGGUUCAACCCAGUUUAGAGGAGUUCUACACUUGCAGCCAUACAAAGCUUCAAAAGGAGCCAUUUGGAUGCUCUCUUGAUAACUAUUGUUGUACGAGAAUUUAGCUAAGGGUUGCCAUUUCUCCCAUGCACCCUUGGAAGAUAUAACACAGGCCCUCAACAUAUCCUCUAGAAUUUGAUUCACACGCUCAGUCUGACCGGAGGUUUGAGGAUGAUAGGCUGAACUGCGAACCAACUUUGUACCAAGGAGUGAAUGCAGAUGCUCCCAAAAGCGAGCAGUGAACUGAGGACCUCUAUCAGAAAUAAUAGUGCGAGGCACUCCGUGCAAUUUAACUAUCUGAGAGAAGUACAACUCAGCAUAGUCGAUUGGUCGGUAUGUAGAGUGUACAGGAAUAAAAUGAGCUGACUUGGUCAAACGGUCAACAACCACCCAUAUGGAAUUGUGUCCUUUUUGAGUAAGGGGAAGUCCAAAAAUGAAAUCCAUGCUGAUUUCUUCCCACUUCCAACCUGGAAUUGAUAACGGUUGCAAUAAACCUGCAGGUUUGAGAUGAACUGCCUUUACUCUGCAGCAAGUAUCACACCUAGCAACAUAAGCUGUUAUCUCUUUCUUCAUUUUGGUCCACCAGAAACGAGGUCUCAAGUCUAGGUACAUUUUGCUACUACCCGGAUGAAUGGACAACUUGGAAGAAUGAGCUUCUUCUAAAAUUUUGUUGCGUAGGUCACGGUCUUUGGGUACAACUUGUCGAUCGUCAAACCACAGUACACCUUUCUCAUCUACCCGGAAAUGCUUGGUGUCUUGCUCUUGCAUUUUUCUCUUGAUAUGAAAAAUACCUAGAUUAGAUUUUUGGAGCUCUAUGAUUUGACUUUCUAAUGAGCAGCUGACUGUGAUGUUGUGCAGGACCACAGGAUGCAACAAAUUGAAGCCUUCCUCUAGGAGAGGUCUAACAUGUUGUUUCCAACUGAGAGCAUCAGCUACAACAUUGGCUUUGCCUGGAUGAUAGUGCACUUCUAAAUUGUAGUCUUUUAUCAAUUCCAGCCAUCUUCUUUGUCUCAUAUUCAGCUCGGGUUGUGUGAAGAUAUAUUUGAGGCUCUUAUGGUCAGUGUAAAUGUGACAAAGAUUACCCAACAGAUAAUGUCUCAAGAGUUUCAAUGCAUGUACAACUGCUGCUAACUCUAGAUCAUGAGUAGGGUAGUUGGCUUCAUGUUUCCUCAGCUGCCGAGAAGCAUAGGAAAUAACUCGGCCUUCUUGCAUAAGCACACAACCUAGGCCAGUGCCAGAUGCAUCACAAAAGACAUCAAAUGGCUUUUCAAUGUCAGGCUGUGCCAGAAUAGGAGCGGUGGUCAGCAAAUGGCGUAGAGUAUUGAAAGCAACUUCACACUCCUGGGACCACACAAACUUCACAUCUUUUUGCAGUAGCUUGGUCAUAGGCUUCGCUAUUUUGGAGAAGUCUGGAAUAAAGCGCCGAUAAUAUCCAGCUAGACCGAGAAAGCUCCGGACUUCGUGCACUGAAGUCGGGGCCUUCCAGUCUAGAACCUCCUGCACCUUUGACAGGUCAACAGAAAUACCCUCUUCGGAUAAAAUAUGGCCUAAGAAAGGCACUUUCUUCAGCCAAAACUCACACUUGCUGAAUUUGGCAUAGAGCUGAUGUUCUCGCAAUCUAGUGAGUACAAUCCGAAGGUGCUUCUCAUGUUCUUGUGCAUUUUCAGAAUACACCAAUACAUCAUCGAUGAACACCACCACAAACUUAUCCAGUUUAGGCAUGAACACCGAAUUCAUCAGGUACAUGAAAUGAGCAGGGGCAUUAGUCAGACCAAAGGACAUGACUAAAUACUCGUACAACCCAUACCUGGUAGAGAAAGCUGUUUUAGGAAUGUCUUCGGGUCGGAUCUUGAUUUGAUGAUAACCAGAUCUCAGAUCAAUCUUGGAGAAUACCUUGGCCUUGGCUAAUUGAUCAAACAGGAUAUUAAUGUGAGGCAAUGGAUACUUGUUUUUAAUGGUCACGACAUUCAGCGGACGAUAGUCUACACACAUACGUAGAGACUUGUCCUUCUUCUUGACAAAGAGAGCCAGACAACCCCAUGGAGAAGAACUAGGCCGAAUAAGACCUUUCUCAAGAAGUUCUUGCAAUUGCUUUUUCAACUCUGCCAAUUCGUUGGGUGGCAUUCGAUAUGGCCUUCUAGAGAUAGGUGCGGUACCCGGAAUUAGAUCAAUUUUAAACUCAAUGUCUCUGUCCGGCGGCAACCCGGGCAGAUCCUCAGGAAAGACAUCCGGAAACUCACACACUACCAGAAUUUCUGCCACAGUAAGUGGUCGGAUAGCAUUAGCAGCAUGAUGAAUGUCAUCAUUCUUGGGAAGCUGGACUAAGAAGGCUUCUUUGUUAUCAGGCUCUCGCAACAUAACCACCCUCGUGGAGGUGUCUAUUAGUACUCCGUUAUUUCUCAUCCAAUUCAUCCCUAAAAUAACAUCUAUGCCCAAACCCGGCAAAAUUACAAGAUUUGCUGAAAAGUUACGACAAUAGCAAUAUUCACAUCCUUCACUAAUUGGUUCGUGGAAAUUUGGUUCCCAGCAGCACUAAUGCAAAACUUGCCACUGUCAAGAUCAACUACAUGUUGUCCAUGCUUAGAUGCAAAUGCUUGACUCAUAAAUGAAUGCGAAGCUCCAGAAUCAAACAAGACAACUGCAGGGUGUUGAUUUACAAUGAACAUACCAGCGGUGACUGCUUCACCCUCAGGGAUUUCUUCAACCGUGGUGUAGUGCACACAACCAGUAUGGUUAUUGCCUCCAGCUGUAGAAUUUCUCUUAGGAUAAGGGCAAUCUCUCGCGUGACCAACUUGCUUACAAUUGAAGCAGGGGCGGUUAUCAGGAGGAGUCUUGGGACCUCCUUGACCCGUGGCACCUCUUGGGAGCGCAACUGUGAAGGACUUGCGAACUCCCGUCUUCACAUUUGACUUUUUCUACGGUGGCCCGUACCUUGUCACAGCAUUGGGUGGGCGAUAGGCCGGUUUGCUUGUCACUGGAGCCUUGGACUGUGAAGCACCUGCCUCAUAGGCCCUCUUGCGGUUCUUGGACGCGGCAUACACGGCAUUGGAGUUCUCUUGAGUCAACGCAUCACUUACAAACUCAUUAAAGGUGGUACUCUUGUUACCAGCCAUGUUCUUAGACAACUUGGGUCCCAACCCUCUCUUGAAACUAGCGAGCUUCUUGGCUUCGGUGUCAACCAUCUCAGGAGCAUAGCGAGACAAAUUAUUAAAAGCAUGAAGAUACUCCGUCAAGCUUUUAGUGCCUUGCGUCAGGUUCAUGAACUCGGUGUGCUUGAUAGUCAUUAAGCCUUGGGGAAUGUAAGUAUUCCUGAAAGCAGUUGUGAACUGAUCCCAGGUUACAACAGCAUUGGCAGGCAAGCUGGUCCUGUAAUGACUCCACCAGACACCUGCUUUGCCCUCCAACUGGUGGGCUGCAUAUUCCGCCUUUAGCUCUUCGGUCACCCUCAGCAAGCGGAACUUCUGCUUGAGAGUGUUGAGCCAUUCAUCACCUUCUAGAGGUUCGACAGCCUCCUUGAAAAGCAGCGGCUUUGUGUCUUGGGAAUCCUUGAAACUGCUGUACUGAUUUGCCUCUCCGCCUUGGCGGGCAUGGCGACCACCCCGGUUCUGCUGCGCCAUAGUUUGCAUAGCUUCAUUGAGCAUUCGCUGGCCCUCAAUAAGAGCUGCCAAUAGCUCAGUAGGCGUAGGCGGGGGAGGAGGUGGUGGUGGCGGCACCUCGUUAUGACUGGAGCGAGUAUUGCGAGCCAUCUGCACAAGGCAUACCAAGCGAUUGUUUCAGGCAAUAGGUAUAAUUGUCAUGAACUUCAAUUGCUGCCAUACGGAAUUUAAUAAAGUAAAUUCACAUAAAUUAAAGGCGCAAUAAUCCAUGUACAAUAAGAGAAUAUCUUCCAUGACACUUGGUUAUUCUCGCGAUCAAUCACAGUCACAAUUUCUCAAAGAUUAAAGACAUGGCAGAGAAUUAUUUAGGCUCAACAUAAACAUGGAGCAUCACAAAUAAGUGCAUAGGGUUACAUAGAGUCAUUACCACACUUAAGGUUUUUACAGGAGGGGCACCAUGGCCAAAUACAUAGAAUCUCAACAAAAAUUCAGAUUACAUGUCCAUUACACAAAGAGAUGGAACUGAUACACGAUCAUGGAAUUAUUGCUAGGCUACAUAUCUUCAUCAGAUUCUCCAUUAGAAAUGAUGCCAUCAUCCUGAUCUUCCUCAUUAGGAACUUCUUCAUGAUUAAAAGGGGCUGGAUGUGGAAUAGGAUUUAUGAUAUUAUUUAAGCGAUGGACAUCUAACUGCAGCUCAGCAAUCCUAGUAAUCAGCUCUUCCUCUCUCAUUUCAGCAUGGAACAAGGCUCUAACUCUAGCACCUUCUCUAUUUUCAGCCAAGCGCAUAUAGCCUCAUCUCUCUCUCUAGUCAUUUGCAUCAUGCGGGCUUGUGCUUCAUUGCGCUCCCUAACUGCAUUCUCAACUUGGUUGCGGCGGGCUUGCAAAGCGGUAUGAUAGUUUUGGAUUUCAGCUUGUGCAUCCAUAAAAGCUUUGCGAUGCUUGCGCACUCGCUUGCGCAGUUUGCGCUGCCCAACUUGAGCUUGUUGAAGCGCUAGCUUGGCGUCUAUGUAAGUGUCCUGUCGUAUAUAGUACAGCUUAAGCACCGCUAGCAUGGCACUCAUGGCAGGGCUAGAGCUAUAUCCUAGCAGGGUUUCUCUCAUCUCUAAAGGCUCAUUCCCUAUCUGAGACACAAAUGUGUCAGUCACACUCACUCUGGGGAUGGAUCCCGCUGGGCCAUUCACUAACUCAUCACCAUAAUCUUGGCAUAUCUCUAGCAAAACCUCUAGGGUUGCUACUUGGGCACCCUCCCAAGGAGUUUGGCCAUCACACUCAACUAUCCAACCUAGCCACUGUGGGUUAUUUCGACAAGGGGAACUGUAAUUUGGACAUCUACCCAAGGUAAGGCUCCUGCAUGCUCAGACUCCGUCCAAGUGUCCUUAGGUGGUUCCUCAUAUCCAACUAAACUUAGCACCCUCCACAACAAAGUAGGAGUGCCAAACAUGUCCAGGAAAGUCUCACUUGCGUGCGGGGCUGCCAUCUGUAGAAAGACCACAUUUGGGUAAGGGAGAUUAAUUACAAGGAGAGAUAAAUAGAUAUAAUUUCAGAAUUUAAUACCAAGUAGUGCAUAAGAAUGUAUGAAUGAUUCAUGAUGCAUGCACGUUCCAUACGUCCUUUCCAUUCCUAGAAGAAAGUUCUAACGGUAUAGUUGGUGGCAUACAUACGUGCACUCUUAUACGCAACUACACGGUCUACACGUUUCGUUGUUAGUGUACCUGCAGAAGAUUUCAUUUCAGCCCAACCCCACAAUAGUAUAAGUGCAGAAAUGUAAAACCAAUCAUCAACAAUCAAGCUAGGUACUCCGAUAUAUAUUCCCGAACAUAUAUCGCAGCACACUACCCAUUUUGGAUACACCCACAUAUACAUCAAAUAUGUAUACAUGGCUGCACCUACUACUCACAAUUAAGUACCUUCAUAUAUACAUGUGUGAAACACGUAAAUAUUCCGGUAACCACAGCUAACACUCCCCUAGACCAACGGUUGGACGGUCAUGCUCUCACAGCUCACACUUACCGUAGCGUAGAGGCAUAUCGAUCCAUACAUUACCACUCAAGCAAGUGGCAUCCAUACAAUUUCACGCCGUAUGGACGACGAAAGAAAACAAACAAUGCUUACCAUGGCGUAGAGGUAUGUGAUCCAUUCAUUACCACUUAAGUAAGCGGUAUCCAUAUAAUUGCACGCCAUAUGGACGACGAAAGGAAAAACCCCCAUGUUAGAAAUGUUAAGCCACCUAGAAGUCCUUAUAUGGGCAUAAAGGGCAUGACCACUGGCAUGGUAUAAGUUAUCAAAAUGUUUUAAAACAGCCCUAUGUAUAGUCUAAUUUUGCCAAAUUAGUUUGAGAAAACAAAAUUCAUUUGUUUUCAAAUACAUCUAUGAUGGUUAAAUGACUAAUCUUGCUCUGAUGCCAGCUGUAACAGAACCGUCCAAUUUAUAAGAAUUCAAGUGAAUUAGCGACCACGGAGGCAGUCAAGCCAAUGGACUUGAACCCAUAUAAACCCGAUAGUCCGACGAAAUCUCAAAAGACCUCGAUUCAACCAACAUACAACCAAGAUCGUACAUGAUCAAGCAUCACCAUCACAGAUUACAACAUUCAUCACAGAACAUAGUUUUACAUCACAUCAGAGUUUAAAGUGGUUAUUACAAACCAUAGCAGUAGCGGAAACAAAGUAGUUUUGAAGCAACACCAACUCAGUUUAUAAUACAUGCCAGUUCCAUGGUCAAGUCCCAACAAAAGCACAACUGAAGAUAAAGGAGGUGAUCACGCCCAUGAUCUAUUCAUCAUCCGCAGCCGGGUGAUGACAUUUAGCACAGUAGCCGUGGUAAACAACAUCAUCUGCAACAGGGGUAAAUAAAACCCUGAGUACGAGAAUGUACUCAGCUAGACUUACCCGUCAUAAACCAAAAUAAAGUGACACCAAGGAGUAUGCAAGGCUGAUCUUUGUGGACUGGUUUGACUCACCUUUUGCAUAAAAGCCUUUGUUGUAAGUAACUUAUUUAUCAUAUUUCAGCAGCAAGUUCAUUACUUAGCAACUAUCCACUAGAUUACCACCUGUUCUAAGCAUACACUUGUGUAUUUAAGCAUUACAAUAAUAACCAUAUCCAGAUUUUCACAUAGCUAUCAUCAUUCUCAUCAUAACCAUUAAGUUUGUUUAGUGAAUUCUACGUUGCCGCUGCCCAAGUCAGGUUCUCACUAUCCGGGAGAGACGGCGAUUCGAAUCGAUUCCUAUCCAGCUGGCGGGGUAUUCCUAACACUCACCCAAGCAUACUUCAUGAUGGCAGCUCGGAUCACCUUUAGCACAACUUCGGACCAAUUCGCGGGUCCAUACGGCGCCACACCCCCAGGGACCGCCAAUCUGCCAGGGUCAGGACUCUAACCUGACACCUCGGUCUUACGCCAUUGACUCCCCGCACAUCCUUGCUACCAACCGGGGUGCGCACUUAAACCGAACGGGGUAUCCGGCUGGAGAUGCACUCGUAGGCUUCGCGGUCGGAACAACUUAUCCGCCAACUAAGUGAUAGGCAUGCGUUCAACAUGACACGGGGACGUACAGCGAUUCGGUCCUUAAACGACACAGACGGGGAUAGAUUCACACCCAAGACCUCCAUGCCUUGUUGCUGCACUAUAGUCAUCCCGCCCGGUCUCAAAUUCAUUAUUAACACAUGGUUAUUUCCACGAUAGCAAAUAUAGCCAACCGUGAUUAUCAUCCACCUAACUCUCGCAGGUGACAGGAAAUCACCCGGCUUCUACCGAGCUAAGCAUGGCUAAGCAUUACUUCGAUCCUGGACCUACUUUGGUGAGGUAUGAGGUGGACAAGGUAGUCAUUAUGCAGCAAAGGUGUCAUAUCAACGCCUACCACUUAAUGCAACAAUAUAUAACCAUAGUCAAUUGAUAGCUGAACACAAAUAAUAAAAUAGUAGGAGGCUUAUAAUGCUCCGGGGCUUGCCUUCGACGUAAGUAGAGGGACAAUGGUCAGGACACUCUGGCAAGUCCUCCUCCUCCUCAGCUCCUUGAGGUAGCUCCCCUUGCUGUCCUUCCGGCUCCGGCAACUCGAACUCCAGCACCGUCACUCCCUUGGGUACACCUAUGUAUGCAUGACAAGGAGAUGAAUAUGGAGAAUGCACAUAUGGUGCAUGAUGCCAAGAUGAGGAGCCAAAGGGACAUAAAACAAGGUAUAACAUGAGCAUAAACUUCUAAGAAUAAGUGAGUCAUGGAAUAACAAGUAAAUGCAUACUUCUUCUCUGGUAGAGAGACUAAAUAGACAAGUUAAACAAGUCCUAGCUACUCCUACCCAAUCACUGGUUUAAUAGACAAACCAACCUGUCACAAGUUUCAGCCAUAACUUAAGCAUCAGUUAACCAAACUAAGCAAGUAAGCACUUUCUGGAAAGCUUAGCAAAUUGUCUACAAUUCAUUUUUAGACAUCCCAGACUGAUUCCCAACUUAAAUAUGCUAAAACAUACAAAGUUGGCUGGCUGUCCUGGAAAAUGCAGAGAACAAGCACAUUGCAGCAGCUACUUGAAAUAUUCAUAACUUUUAAACUACUCAACCAAAUGUCAUGAAACUUGGACACGAAGUAGAUUAGCAAGUUAGCUACAAGUUUGUUGUAGACAAGUUUCCCAGAAAAUAAUAUCUUUAAUUAGUUUUUAAGCAGUUGCCAUCAGCUACACAGAAAUGCUCUAGAAAAGGCAUAAAUAGCCAAAAUAAUAUUUUGCACAUAUUGAGAAUAUAUCACAGGGACAAUCCAAUUGCACCAAUAGAUAGAACAUGACUAAGAAACACUAGAAAACAUCAUGGCAAGGUCUAAACUCAUUUCUAUCAUCACCUUUUUCAUUUAUUUAAUUAUUAAGUGAUUUAAUGAACAUGCAUUCCAAGUGUUCCAAAAACCCUAAGAAAUUAUAGCAAGCUACUUAUGCUAACAUAAGAUCACUGUAAAAUUUUCAGAACAUUUGCACAUACAUAUUGUGGGAUACAAAAAUAACAAGCUAGCAAAGGCAUGCAAGGCAUAAAUGUGAAACCCUAUCAAAAAGUCUCAAACAACAGAUUUCAGAUUUUUCCUAGCCUUGUCUACAUAUAAGUACAACACUCAGCAAGUUUCACCACAAAAGGAGUUACAACUUAAUUAUUAAAAAUACCACAAGGAACUCCUAUUUAAGCAAGAAUUAUUUUUAACUCCACACUCAGGCUUCCAAAAAUCAUGAUAAAUUUACCAGAGCCUAGUCAUAACAUAAGUAACAACUCCCUAAAUUUGCAUGGCCAGCAGAUCAAUAGAUUUCAAGAUAUAAUUACCACCCAAAAAUCAGAGAUUAAUUUAUAUCUAUUUAUUUCUGCAAAAACAUGGCAUGGUUCAUAUUUUUAUUAAAAACUAGACUUAUGCUGGAACCUAGCAAAAUUGGAACCAUGUCAUUUGGAUCUCUAAAACUCCAGAUAUGAAUUUUUCAAAAACAGCAUAGGCUCUGCAAAAACAGUGAACUAGGGGGAGUGAGAGGGAGAGGCUGACACCCGGGACCCGUACGUCAGAGAGACAGAGACAGGGGAGAUGCUCGUUGCCGGCGAAGCUCAACGACGACGAGGUCUCGGCCGGAUCCAAGGGCAUCUACGUAUUCCUCUCAUCAAGGAGACUCUGUUGACCUACUUUACCCGCGCUCUACUGGACCCUAAGGUGCUCGCCGUCGGGAAUGGCGGAGCGGCGGCGCUGCGCGGCGUUACGCCGACGGAUCCAGGCAAUGGCGACGCGGUAGAGGUUGCGGACGAGCAAGAGCGGCUCAAGGCGAAGCUAUAGGAAGAAGAAUCACGGCCAGAGGUGAGCCAGAGAGGUCUGGCCACGUUGCCGGUGAUCUCUGUGAACUCCGGCGAGGUGGAGCUCGCGACGGAAAUGGCAAUGUGACCUCACCGGUGCUCGGCUACGGGAAUGGAGUGGACGCCGAGGUAGAGGACGUCAAGGCAGAGCUCUGGACAGGUUGGCUUGGCCGGAGACGCGGUGGAACGGCCGGAGAAGCUCGCCGAAACACGGCGGAGCUCCCUGAGGCGACGACGGAGCGAAAUGAGAGGCGUUGAGCGAGUGGAGGGCGCGUCUGAGGCGUCCACUCGGUGCGUGCCGUCUUGUGGACGACGUCGGGGCUAACAGGCGGGGUCGCCGUCGACGUACGGUCGACAGGUGGCCGGACACGCGGCGGUGGACGGUUUCUGUCCAAACUGAAUCGGGCGAUUCAGUCGCCGUGGCCAGUGACUGAAACCCGAUCUUCAACAACGUUUUACUCUCAGCUCAAUCGAUGGUUUUGGCUGGGAUUUGAUCCUCUGGAUAGAGCUACACGAGUUAUACAACUUUGAUUACACGAUCUCAGUCUAAAUCGGUCUGGAUUUCAAACUACAAGGCUUCAAACAACCCUACCUCGAAACUGUCUCCUUCAAGACUUAGCCAAAUUCGGCUAAGUGUGAAAUCAGCCCUGAUUUUUGGCUUGUGAGCAAUGUUUGGAUGUGUUCUAAGCUUUUUCAUAAAAAGUCAUCAACAUAACUUUUGUAGCUUAUGAAAUUCUCUACAACUGUGUUUCAGGUGUCAAAGACAUGCAAGGUCUCUAACAUUACUUUCAUAAAACAUCUUUGAUAGGAGGUUUAGGGGGUCAAAUAAGCCAUUCUAGGUUUAACCAUAACCUAGGAGCAUUUUUGGCCAAAACCAUCAACAUGAACUUUGCUCCAAAUGAUAUUCUAAACAUGAUCGAGGUAUUUUGGAAGACAAUGAACAUUUGUGAGGAUUAGUCACCCACUAAGGUCACUCAAACAACUCACACAAGCAAUAUAAUCAUAUAGUUCAUAUAGUAAAUGGCAUGUGAUCAUGGUAUGAUGCUCAUGAGUGAUCAUGAUGAUGCUUAUGUUGAUGCAAUGCUCAUGGUUAACAUGCAAGCUAACACUAGGAGUGUUACAAGUUCUGUUCAAGCUGUAUGUCUUCAGACCUUAUCACUUCUCCUUCGUAGUCUGCCCGUCCGACCUUGAUGAUUUGCCUACUCUGGUUGCGGUUGCGUCGUCUUCUUCUUGUCCUGACCUGCUUAGACAACUAUAUAGUUAGGUUCAGUAAAAUAGCAGCGUAACUUCUCAGAGGGGAAGUGCAUGUGGACUUCUCUAGUUCCAAUUUUGAUGAUUGCUUUAACGGUGCUGAGGAACGGUCUCCCAAGGAUGAUGGGUGGAUCAUACUCGUCUUCUCCUAUGUCAAUAACCUGAAAGUCUAUAUGGACAAAAUGAUCGUCUAUUUUGAUAGGGACAUCAGUUACUAUACCUUCAACCUUUCGGAAUGUCUAAUCUCCCAUCUGGAGCUAAAUGUAUGUCGGUUUUAGGGGCAUGGUUCCGAACAAGAGCCGAUAGGUGACUGUUGACAGUCCUUAAGUACCAAAUAUAAUCAUCAAAUAAAUAAAGAGAAGGAUCCAAAUGCAACCAACACCCAAACUUAGGGUUUUAUCUGACAGAAUUCUAUGAGUUUUGGUGUUUGUCUAUUUCUGCAGGGGGUUAUCAGGAAUUAUGGAAGAAAGGCCCACACAUCAGGUUUACAUAGAGAUAUUAACGUACCUCACAAUUAUCCUACAUCUAGAAGACUCCAGAAGCCACGGGAACGAAUCGGAGACCGGACGGGCUCGGGGGCAGGGCGCCCGACCUCCCCCUUGGGCGCCCACCCUGAUCUCGGGGCCAAUCAGCUUCAACUUCGCGGAUCAUGCUCCACCGACCUAAAGGAUCAAGGAAAACUGUGCGAUUAAUGUCGGUUUGAUCCAACGGCCCACAUUCACUUGGAAGGACUAUAUAAGCAGACCCCCUGGCCCCUGGACGAGAGGACCUCUAACCCUUAAUUCAUUAUUCAUCUUGGGAGAAGAAGCCUCUGAUCAAGCCCUAGAGCCACCACAUCAAUUAGAUCUCUAGUUAAGCAUAGCUACAUAGGACUAGAACUAGAAGGAGUCAAUCUUCGAUUGGUUUCCGGAUCUGUCAAGAAGAUUCUUGGUAAUUCCUCUAUUGUUCUUCAAUUGUUCAUCUUUGUUCUUCAAUAUUAUGAAUAUGACUUUGUUCUACUUCAAUAUAUUGAUUAUGACUUUGCUCUACUUGUUUAUAUUCGCAUUUAUAUUGUUCUUAGUUUAUCAUAGUUAUAUGCUUGGCUUAGUUAGAUUGGAAUUAUAUACAUGUUUAGGAUCGUAUAGCAUUUAUCCAUGUGUACAGUGGGUAAAUGAUAAGUAUUGUGUAGGCGUGGUGCCUAUACCGUAUUUAUCUGCGAUUGUACCCUAUAUGCCAGAUCGCGGGGUAGUUCAUGGUAGUGACAGCUCCAUUGAUUCUUAUAUAGUCCCCCUCUCGUGUAUAGGGCUGGCAGAGCAACAUUAUUACAGGGGAGUGAUUGCUAUGUUUCUCAUAUUCGUCGAUAAUAUCACUAUGCAUGGGCAUAGUCCUGUCUCGCAAUGAUUGCCAAGUAUAAUUGCACUAACUAUUAUAUGCUAGACUUUAUAGUUAAGAAUAACUUAGGAAAUAUUAUUGUAGUUCAUCCUAAUUCCAUGCUAAUGACUUGCUAGAAUAUCUAUUGAGGUGCUUAUCAUAUUUAUAUGUGGCUAAGUUAUGCUGAUCAGAUUAAUUAUCUUUGUCACCAUUCGUACUUUAUAUAUCUUUUAUGUGACACUUAUCCCUGUAUGAAAGAGAUAGAUAAAUGCUCUCAAUUAUACAUGCAAUGAUAGAUACUCAAUUCUAUAUUCCAUUCCAUAAUCAACAUUGAUGUUUAGCAAUCCCUUCCCAGUGGUAAAAAUAUAAAUAACGAUACCUGGAAUAGUUCCUGGUUAAAAUGCUACAUCGGUAUUAAUCUGUGCGCUUGCAGAUCUCAUUUAUUAUUUAUUCAGAAGAGCAAUUGCAUAUUUCAAUACCGCGUCUCUCAUGUCAUGCUAGGGAUGACAACUUGGCUUAAGUGGCAUGCGGGAUAGGUUUGACAUUUUUGGUGCCGUUAUCAGAAUUAGAAAACUAAGUCUACUUUUGGUAGUGACGUUAAGAAUGCCCAACACUAACCCCUGUAGGAAAACUUUCAAUAUCGACCUGGGAAGUCCUGAGAUAAACUCACACUAGAGAUAAAGAGAGAGACACAUGAAGUUUAAGAAUUUACACAAGGAAGACAUAGCUCAUAAGAGAUGAUCCAUGGAGAGUGCCAUAAACACGAUACACAACCGCUAAGAAAGGAAAGGUUCCACAAGGUGAUACUGUACCAUCACUCUUCAAGUAAGGUAACAUCUUAAGGUACUUGACUAUCACUUUUAUAAGCUUCUCUUUGGUUCUGGCGUUCAUAUGAAUAAAAGAGACAAACAUGUAAGAUUUACAACUCUAGAUUAACCAACCCAAUCGAUUUAACAUGUUUAGUCCUUCCACCUUUGUAAUCCCACACUCUUAAUCAUAUGAGCUAGAAUGUUGCACACUCAAUCUUUGGAAGAUAUAUAUAUAUUAAAAAAACAUAAAUAUAGAUAGAUUAUCUUCGCAUUAGGUUGAGCGAUCUGAUCCGACAAAUGUUUUAAAUGCUACACUCAUGAUCUUAUUAUCCAUCAACUUUGUCUUGCUCACUAUGGUUAAGGUUAGAGAAGAACAAAUACACUUUUGGUUCUGUUGGUGUUUUCCACCAACAGGGCCCAUGCACUUGAUCUCUGCCUUGUCUCUAUGAGCAGGUACACUUCGAGCAAAACAUGGGGGAGUUUUACAACUCCCAGACUCCACCAAGUGAAGGACCUGGAUCUACGAGCACAAACACACUAAGCAGGAUAUUGCCAACGCCGCACUUCGAACUGUUGGGCAAACGAAGAACAUGGGUGACACCGUAUCAAGAGGUGCAGACGUCAAGGUCCACACUUGAAUCAAAUGAUGCACCUAAAGAAUAAACACGGUGAGAAGUCUUGUUCGGAAGACUUAAAACAUUGAACCCUCACCGAAAGGUAAAAUCGGUAGUUAUCCAUAUUUAUCCUUUGUGCAUUCCCUUUUCCCUUAAAUUAUUUACUCUCCUUAAAUAGCUUGUUACUUAAUCAUGCUAUCUUGAAAAGAAAAUAAAAAUAUUAAAAACAGUAAGCCCCAGUGAGUAUGCUCGAGACAUAAAAGCCAUAAGUAUUUUCACUGUGGCGGCGUAAAAAUAAAAUAUUCCUAUCCUAUAAAAAUGAAAAUAUAAAAAUAAAUUUAUGAUCCUAAGUAACAUUUAUUGAGGAGGCUCAACAUGAUAAAGGCUAGAUAUUUAUGCUAACACUUAACCAGUUCCAUAAAGCUUUGUUGUCUAUUUGAGCUCCACAGAAUUCAAGGAUCAAAGAAGACUAGCAGACGGAGGACAUCCUAAUCGCUGUCAGGGUGCUACCGACAUUCAAAUACACCUCCGCCACCUACUAGCUACAUGAGAAGAAAUUACGUCAAAAUCCAGCUUAGGGGAGAGCACCUCCAUUUAUCGAGCUAAGUGUUUCUACUCGCGUUUAUAAUUUACUUAAAUAAUAAAAAAGAUGCAUAAUCAUAAAAACCCAAAUAAAGAUUUUGUGCUUUUAUAUAUAUCUUUGCUUAGUUUGCUAAAUAAAUAAAUAAAUAAAGUUUGCUAUGAACCCUCAUGAUAAGCUCUCACAUGGAAAUGAUGAAUAGUUGCUCUGCCAUGACUAGUUCUCAAAAUUGAAAUCUCUAUCAAGUUUAGGCAUCACAGUUAUGAAUUAAGAUUUGCUCUAAACCUGAACUUGUGGGAAGAGUACCUGAUCAAAAGUCUAAGUUGUUAACGGAUAUGAUAUGGGAAGGUUGAGCUGCUGUUUAUCUAUUCCUAGAGAUACUAGAAUUCUUGAGAAUUUUAUCUUUGAAAAUCUUUAAAAUGUUGCAUGAUGAGUUCUUGUAUGAUGAGAGUUUAAAAUCCUACCACAACCAUAUAUACAUGCUUAUUAAACUAUGAACCAUACAUUUACUUUUUACUGCUUAUGAGCAUUGAGUGUGGUCAAGCUGUGUAGACCCUUAGGAGCUUGUCAUACGGUUAAAAUCAAGAUUCACUUGCACGUUCACUCAUACAUGCUGCUUCUAGUCCGGAAGUACGCAUCCACAUACAUCCACUCAUUUCCAUCUCUAGAUUCACCCAAAAGUAUUCUACUCCUAUCUAGGUGAGAAUAGCCAAAAACAUUAUCCUAUCCCUGCUAUUCCCCGUGAAAUAAAUGCUCGAGAUAUUUUGGUUACUACCACUUGCUACAUUAUUCUAGGAGGGUGAGUGCUCUUAAAAAAAUUGAAUACGAGGAAAUAAAAAGGGGCAAGUGCCCAGAACCUCGAAGGAAAGAAAAAGUGAGACGAGAGGUAAAAAUGGACAAGUGUCCGACAGUAGAAUUAGGGGUACAAGAUACCCACCUGAGAGAAAAGAAAAAGAAAAUAUAGAGCAUAUCAUUCUCCUCAAAAAGCUUCAAAGUGCAAGAAAGGUAUAUAUCCCCUUAAAAAGAGCAAAAGUAGAAUUAGACUUUCACCAUUGUUAUCACCAUCAUCGUCAUACACCAUUCAUUCGCCACACAUGCACAUCUUGAUUUGACUUAUUGACUUGUUUCUCUAGAUCCAUGGUUUGACUGUGCAAUAAAUGUCUUGUAAGUAUGUAUGCUUUAUCUCCCACCUAUAGAGCUCCAGAUAUCAAAACCUUAUUAGAGUAGGGUGAGAGAGAAGGCAAUAUCAUUAUGCCUAUACCAAAACUACCACAUACUUUGAGAGAAGGCAUAUACCAUUACUGCCUGAUCCAGAAAUACCACAAAAGAGAGAUUUGAGAGAGUCAUAUAAGGAAUCUCUGAGUUUUAUUUGAAAAUUUACAAAAACUCCAGAGCUAUAGCUGAACAAGAGACACGGCGCUUCACUAGACUAUUCUAUCUUUUCACUUCUCAAGACACAAGUGACGGUUGCAAGCCCCAUGGUGAAAGGUAAAAUGAGUAAGUUUUAAGGCUUAACAGUUUACUCUAACUCAGAGAUGAGAUCUUGCUUGAAUGCUUGUGUACUUUUAAGGCAUGAAACCACUACAGAAACUCUUGAGUCCAUCCUUGCUCUGGGACGAGCAAGAGGUAAGCUUAUGGGAGUUGUUGACGGUCCUUAAGUACCAAAUAUAAUCAUCAAAUAAAUAAAGAAAAGGAUCCAAAUGCAACCAACACCCAGACUUAGGGUUUUAUCUGACAGAAUUCCACAAGUUUUGGUGUUUGUCUAUUUCUGCAGGGGGUUACAAUGAAAUAUGGAGAAAAGGCCCACACGUCGGGUUUACAUAGAGAUAUUAACGUGCCGUGCAAUUUUCUAUCAUCUAGAAGAGUCCAGAAGCCACGGGAACGAACGGGAGGCCGAGCGGGCCCGGGGACAGGGCGCUCGCCCUCCCCCCUUGGCCCGCCCAUGAGUCUCAACCAAUCAGGCUCCACCUUGCAGAUUAUGCUCCACCGACCUAAGGGAUCAAGGAAAACUGUGCGAUUAAGGUCGGUUUGAUCUGACGGUCCACGUUCAUUUGGAGGGGCUAUAUAAGCAGGCCCCCUGGCCCCUGGAGGAGGGCAAUCCCCAUUAUUUAUUAGCAUAUUUUCUAGAGAGGAUUCAGAGAGAGAGGUUCCUUAGGGUUCCCACCUCAUAGGGCUCAGCAUCCAAUGUGAGAGUAGAACUAGUUCUACUAGAUUGAGAGAGAUAGAGUGGAGGUGUAGAUCGGAGGAAGCCCGGCCUAUCGGUGUCUACUCCGAGGUUGUACCUGCAGGAUCAAGUCUCCUAACCCGAGGCUUGCUCCUAGGAUACUUCAGUAUUUCAACUUCUAAAUUCUAGUAAGUUCUUUGUUUUAUUGUUCUUUGGUUUAUGAGUUUACUUCGAUCUCUUCGCGUAGAGUUUACGCUAGAGAUGAUUACUCUAAACUCUACGUGAAGAGAUCAUGUAUGACAAGCAAGAAGAAGAUGAGACAUUCAUCUUGGAUGAGUUAGCUAGCAACAAUGACCCAAUCAUCAAGAAGCUAACUCAAGAGAACAACAAGCUCAAGAAAGAGAAGGAACACCUAACCAUGGGGUUAGCAAAAUUCACAAAAGGGAAGGACCUUCAAAGUGAGCUUUUCAUGAACACCGUCAUGAAGAUGGACAAGAGUGGGAUUGGCUACAAGGCCCAUCAAACUAAGCUCAUCAAGUCACUAGCCACUCAUGAUCAACCAAGCAAGCCAAAGCCAAAGAGAUGCUUUGAGUGUGGUCAAGAAGGACAUUUUGAUCAUGAGUGCAAGGCACCACUACCACCAUCCUUGCCCAAGCAUGCAAGACCAUUUGCCUUCAAUGCUCAUUACAUAGUAAGAAAAGACAAGUGUGGCAAGGUCAAGGUUAGCUUCAUGGGGCCACCAAACAAGCAAAGGCAAAAGAAGAUUUGGGUGCCAAAGCAACUAGUAGAGAAGNNNNNNNNNNNNNNNNNNNNNNNNNNNNNNNNNNNNNNNNNNNNNNNNNNNNNNNNNNNNNNNNNNNNNNNNNNNNNNNNNNNNNNNNNNNNNNNNNNNNUAUUUACGUUAGAGAUGAUUACUCUAAACUCUACGUGAAGAGAUCAAAGUAAACUCAUAAUCCAAAGAACAAUAAAACAAGAACUUACUAGAAUUUAGAAGUCGAAAUACUGAAGAAUCCUAGGAACAAGCUUCGGGUUAGGAGAACUUGAUUCCGCAGGUACAACCUCAGAGUAGACACCGACAGGCAGGGCUUACUCCGAUCUAAACCUCCACUCUAUCUCUCUCAAUCUAGUAGAUCUAGCCUACUCUCACAUUAGAUGCUAAGCCCUAAGUCUAUUUAGAGGAAAGGUUAUCCUUCGAGGGCACCUCUCAACUCUAUGAUGAACUUGUACUCCUCCAGGGGCCAGGGGGUCUGCUUAUAUAGUCCCCUCAGGUGAACGUAGGCCGUCGGAUCAAACCGACAUAGAUUGAAUGGUUAUCCUUGAUCCUUGAGGUCGGUGGAGCGUGAUCCGCGAAGUUGGCCGUGAUUGGGUACAACUCCAGGGCGGGCGCCCUAGGGGGGAGGGCGGGUGCCCUUCCCCCGGGCCCGAUUGCCUUCCCGUUCGUUCCCGUGGCUUCUGGAGUCUUCUAGAUGGUAGAAAAUUGCGCGGUGAGUUAAUAUAUCUAUGUAAUCCCGACAUGUGGGCCUUUCUUCCUUAUUUCCUGAUAACCCCCUACAGAAACAAAUAAACAACAAAACUCGUGGAAUUCUGUCAAAUCAAACCCUAAUUCUAGGUGUUGUUUGUAUACUGGUCCUUUCUCUUGUUUAUUUGAUAAUUAAAAUUAAUACCUAAGAACCAUCAACAAACACCCCCAUACUUAGGCUUUUACUCGUCCUCGAGAAAAGGAUGGUUGAGAACAAUAUCUAUGGUUAAAACAUUGUAAAACAUUUUCUUUAUACCUGCAGGGUGUUGUAAAAAUUCACUGUGUACUGUAGUCAAGGAAAUAUAUGGUCAAGAGUAGAGGUCCUUUCCUCUCAAUCCUGUUACUUGGAGUUUUUGUAUAUUUUUUGAAAAGAAAUUUAGCAUACCUUUAUCCUCAUAGGUUCUCUCAGGUCACUCAUUAUCUUUUAUAUAUCUCACUGAGGCUAUUUUCAUUUGCAAAAAUUCUCAAGCAUACUUACCUUGCAUUUAUUGCUUGAUCAAACAGGAUCCGAGGAGAGGAAUGCCAUACUCUUAGAUCAAAGAUUUUGAAAAUUAAAAACUUGUCAACUCUUACUGGCAUAUUGCUUAUUAGAGGGACUAUGGGCUAUCAUUUUCCUUCUUUUCUCUUUCUUUUUUCUUUUUUUCACGUGGAUACCGAGGUACCCCUAAUUCUACUGCCGGACACUUGUCCAUUUUUUUCUACGAGGUUAUCGAGCACUUGCUCCUUUUUAUUUCCUCGAAAUAUCCUUAUUUUUGCAUAGCCCAUGCCUCUAACGCAAUAAUACUUUGGAAGAGUGAAACUUUCUGAAUAAAUGUCUAGAUCUUACGAGCAUGAUAAAUCUAUCAACAAGGGUCUAACUCAUUUUGAACAAACCAAAUACAAAGCAGAUAACUUUUAUAAUUAUCAUGUUAAUAUUUUCAGGUUUAUCAGGCAUAUAAAACACUGAGGAUGGUAGCUAGAACUUUUGAAGAUUUUGAAAUAAAUUCUCCAAGCAACAUUGAUAUCAAGAAUAAGGUACUCAUACUCUACCAUCUCACAUUUCACAAUGAUUUAAGUAACACACGGUUUUAAAAUGAUUUUAUAAUAAUUGCAAGUAUUCAGGAAAUAUCACAGAGUGAGAUUAAUCAUGAUUAGAAACAUUUUAAUCUUUUUAAUUUAUCAUGUCAGAGAUAAUAUUCUGCAUAAUCCAAGAUAUAUAUGUAUGUGCAGAGUAUGUACCUGAAUCGUGGAGUGGUGUAGUCGAAGUGUGUUUGGCAUGUCGAGGGAUCUCCCCCAUACUUGUUUUCUGAUUUCUUGCACAAAAAUAAAGUAGAAACACAAAAGAUAUAAUAACAAUAAUAAUACUCUUUAUUAAUCUUGAGGCAUUUAUUACAAAUGACUAGUAAUGAACUAAAGCUAAUAAUAGAUCUAAACCGAAUUUAAAGAUAAAUAACUAAGAUGCAUUGCCUCAAGAUCUAAUCUAGAUAACUUAGCGGCGCUCUAACUCCCUGAUCUUCUUAUUGGCACUAGCAAGAUCAUGCCUAAGACCUAGUAUCACGGUGUUGUGGUUAGAGAGCUGCCGAGUGAUGGAGUUAACCGAGGACUGGAGGUCUAUGAUGACCCUGUCUAGCCUACGAACGUCCUCAUCAAUAUCUACUAUAGUCUUGCGACGCUUAGGAGGUGUCUCAAGAGCAUUGAGAGCGUGCUUCGGUGCUGCCUUUGGAGGGAUGAAAUGGAUUUUGGCUGCUCUAAUCCCCUCAAAGUAAGGCCUCUCCUCCUCUAUAGUGUAGCGGAUGCUGCUGAUCUCACUGCUCCGGUUGGUCUUGACUCCAACGACCCUCACAUUGGGUCUGGGUGGCAGGAUCCUUGUGCCGGCUGGCACCUUGACGGUGGCCUCCUUCUUGGCUGAUGGUCCCUUGAGAAGUAGGGGCUGUGGCGGUGCAGUGAGAACUGGUUGAGCAUUGUAGGAUUGGGCGGAGCUGCGCUGGCGUAAUGGCAUGGCUUCUAGCUGUCACUCUGUGUUGGCCAGGACGAGAGCACGGGCGUCGUGGUCCUCCUUAGGCUUCUUGUUGAGGUCAUAGAGAACGACUUCCCAAUCGUCAUGGAACUCUUUGGCCAUUGGAGCAGCGAGGAACUAAGCAAGCUCUAAUUGAAGAAGGAGAGAAGGCUUGAAUAGAUUGGUGUUUGAAAACUGACGUCAGGGGUCUGUUUAUAUAGGGGUCAAAAAGUGCCUCUAGGGUUUGUUCGGGUUUCUCCCGCCGCCGUGCGUGCGAAACUUUCCAUCUGUAUGAUUAUUUAGUUUACCAUAAAUGUGUUUAUCAUGAUAGAGGAAAUCGGUACCGAGUGGGGGCAGGGGCUGGGCGCCCGCCCUGUGCCUGGCCCCUCUGUGGGCCCGCUUCCUCGAACGUGCUUCUAGAUGCAAAACUUAUUAGGAAAAUAUAUACGUGGCCCUAAAACGUUAGAUUAAAAAGGUUGGGCUCUAAUUCUCCAUGGGAAGGUAGAAAUGGAUCACGUCUAUUUCUUCUAAUUCUUUAUUGGGCUCUAAAAAUAAUUUAAGACUUUGACCAUUUACCUUGAAUAACGUACCUUUGUCAUUUUGAAGUGUGAUAGCUCCGUGGGAUGAUGAAUUGAUUACCUUGAAUGGUCCUUCCCAUUUACUCUGGAGUUUUCCAUGCCCAAAAAGCUUCACCCUGGAAUUAAAAAGUAAUACCUUAUCUCCGGGUGUGAACUCCUUCUUCUUGAUCCUCUUGUCAUGCCACCUUUUGACUCUUUCUUUAUAGAUCUUCGAAUUGUGAUAUGCUUUCUCUCGCCAUUCUUCCAAUUCUGAUAGUUGCAUUCUUCUAUGAUCUCCAGCGACAUCUAGGUCCAUAUUCCAUCUCCUUAUGGCCCAGUGUGCUUUGAACUCUAGUUCAACAGGUAGGUGGCAAGUCUUCCCGUAUACCAAUUGGUAUGGGAUCAUUCCAAUUGGGGUCUUGUAUGCUGUCCGGUAUGGCCAGAGUGCAUCAGGUAACUUGUCCUUCCAUGUUGUUCCCAUCUCAUUGACUGUUUUCUAAAGAAUAUUCUUGAUUUGCUUGUUGGAAGUCUCUGCUUGGCCACUUGUCUGAGGAUGGUAGAGGGUAGCGAUGUUGUGACGGAUUCCAUGUUUUGAUAAAUAUUGCUUGAAGCGUUUGUCGAUGAAGUGUGCUCCUUCAUCACUUAUCACUACACUAGGAACUCCAAAUCUUGGAAAUAUAACUUCUUCAAACAUCCUCUUUGAACUGAUGUUGUCGGCAUGCUUGCAAGGUAGUGCCUCUACCCACUUGGAGACGUAGUCAACUGCCAUCAUGAUGAACUCACACUUCUUUGAUGGGGGAAUGGACCCAUGUAAUAUAUUCCCCAGACAUCAAAGAGCUCAAUCUGAAGGUUGGUGGUGAGUGGCAUGACAUCCCUCGUGUUUAUGUUUCCAUGCCUUUGACAUGGCCCACAUCUUCUGAUAUAUUGCUUUGUGUCUUCAUACAUUGUAGGCUAGUAGAAUCCACACUGCCCGAUCUUUGAAUGUGUACGGAAUGCUCCAUAAUGGCCUCCAUAUGGUGAUGAAUGACAUUUGUCGAUGAUCUUCCGUCCUUCCUCAGUGGUCACACACCUCCUGAGUAGGCCAUCAGAGCAUACUCGGAAGAGGUAUGGCUCAUCCCAUAUAUGUGAACAACUUUCUUGAAUAAGCUUCUUCUUGUUUGCUCCUGGUGGUACAUACCCUGAAACCAUAAAAUUAACAAUAUCUGCAUACCAGGGGUCAGACCUGUUAAUCCCGUAGAGCAUGUCGUCCCAGAGUGAAUCAUUGAUGGGGGUUUCCUGUGGAUUCUUAAAAUACAUUCUAGACAAGUGAUCAGCAAUAGAUUUUUCUACUCCCUUUUUAUCUUUUAUUUCUAAGUCAAACUCUUGAAGUAAUAAGAUCCAUCUAAUUAGGCAAGGUUUAGCAUCUUUUUAGUGAGCAGAUAUUUUAGUGCAGCAUGAUCCGUGUAAAUUAUUAUUUUAGCUCCAACUAAAUAAGAUCUAAAUUUAUCAAUGGCAAAGACAACAGCCAAAAGCUCUUUUUCAGUGGUUGCAUAAUUAAGUUGAGCUCCUGUCAAAGUUUUAAUGGCAUAAGCAAUUGCAUGAUGCUUCUUAUUUUUAGUUUGUCCCAAAACUGCCCCCAUAGCAUAAUCACUAGCAUCACACAUAAUUUCAAAAGGCAACGACCAAUCAGGGGGUUGAAUGAUUGGUGCAGAGAUGAGUGCAUUCUUUAAUAAGUUGAAAGAUGUUAGGCAUGCAUCAUCAAAUUCGAAAGGAGCAUCCUUGGCUAGCAAAAGAGUAAGUGGUCUAGCAAUAAAUGAAAAAUCUUUUAUGAAUCUGCGAUAAAAACCAGCAUGGCCAAGAAAGCUUCGAAUGCCUUUUAUGUUCACAGGUGGAGGUAGUUGUUCAAUUACUUCAAUUUUAGCUUUGUCUACCUCAAUACCUCUUUCAGACACUAGGUGUCCCAGCACUAUUCCUUCCGUAACCAUAAAAUGACAUUUUUCCCAAUUAAGGACUAAGUGCUUUUCUUCACAUCUUUGCAAAACCUUGUCUAAGUUUUCAAGACAACUAUCUAAAGUUUUUCCAUAAACAGAGAAAUCAUCCAUGGAAACCUCCAUAAUCUUUUCAAUCAUAUCAGAAAAUAUAGACAUCAUGCAUCUUUGAAAAGAAGCUGGUGCAUUACAUAACCCAAAAGACAUCCUACGGUAAGCAUAAGUUCCGCAAGGGCAUGUAAAAGUGGUUUUGCUUUGAUCAUCGGGAUGGAUCGGGAUCUGGUGAUACCCUGAAUUUCCAUCUAAGAAACAGAAGAACGAAUGGUUCGCUAAUCGCUCUAGCAUCGCAUCUAUGAAAGGUAAAGGAAAAAUCAUCCUUUCUUGUGGCUUUGUUUAGUUUUCUAUAGUCUAUGCACAUCCACCAUCCUGUGACGGUGCGUUGUGGAAUUAGCUCAUUCUUUUCAUUCAUAACAACAGUCAUGCCUCCCUUUUUAGGCACAACUUGAACUGGGCUCACCCACUCACUGUGCGGCACAGGAUAAAUAAUCCCUGCAUGCAGCAACUUUAUAACUUCCUUUUUAACUACCUCUCUCAUCGCGUUGUUAAGUCUACGUUGGGGCUCUCGAGAAGGUGAAACAGAAGGAUCUGUCAGAAUACGAUGGGUACAAAUCAUAGGACUGAUUCCUGUAAGAUCUUGGAGUGAGUAGCCGAAAACUGAGUGAUGUUUCUCAAGAAUGGUCAUCAAUCGCAGAGUUUGCUCCUGAGUGAGUUUAUCACUAAUGAUCACAGAAAACUCUGGAUUAUUGUUUAGGAAAGCAUAGAUAAGACCGGGUGGUAAUGUUUUAAGCUCUAUGAGAGGUCUAGGCGUUUCUGCAAACUCAUCUAAGGGUUUAGGUUCAGAAGGUUCGGCCUCUUCUUCUAUGAAGAAAGGAGCCUCGUCUUCUAAGUUUGGUUUUUCUAAAAGCUCUAGAGAUGCAGCCUUUACCUCCUCCAUAGGAGCAGGCAAAAGAUAAGACUCAGACUUAUUAUUUAAAGAGUGUGAAAUUAUUAUUGAAAAUUUAAAAGUUUUUUGAAAAGAAAUGCGUAGCUUUCCAGUGUGACCUUCAUAAAGGAGUGUUCUAAAAGGUUGUCCUAUCAACAGGUCGAAGUCCCAUAUAUCAAAGAUAUAGAAGUUCAAAUGAACCAUGGAGCCUUCUACCAUAAGGGGUAGGACAUUAAUAAUUCCAAGACUGGGGACUAAUCGUCUCGAAGAUUCCUUUAUGAUCUUUGUUGUGGGGGUUAGGACCAAAUUUUUAAAUAAUUUAAGUGCAAAAGAUUUAGACGUGAUGUUGAUCCCCACAACAGGAUUAUAGAGAGCAUCAAAUUGAUCAAAAUCAUAAGCACAGCGUAUAGUUGUAGGAGGUGUGUCUAAACGGAUCACAUCAGAGGAAAGCUCUAACUCCUCCAACCAUUCGCUACUCAUGACUGCGAUAAGCUCUCUCAAUUGAUGUUCAGUUGGCAAACAAAUGCUAAAAUGGUCGUUUUGGGGUCUGUUAGUAGAAUGGUAGUUUGAAAUGUUUCCAAAAUCGGCAAAAAGAUCAGAUUCUAUAUCCAGCAUGAAAUCAGGUGGUGGAAUUUCUUCCUUUCGUGGCUCAGAACUUGGGAUAGCUAGAGUAGAUGGAGAAUUUGCAAAGUGUCUACUUUGGCUUCGUAGGUUUCAUCAUGAAGGGUAUUAUCCAUCUCAGCUUCUAGGAUUCUAUCUAGGAUCACUAUAGCAUCAUUAGUAGGGAUGCGAAAGAAAGAACCUCUAGACAUUGUAUGUAGCAUUUGUUUAUGAUCUUUCUGAAGACCUCGAAAAAAGUGAAAUAAAAGAACAGGGUCUUCAAGAUUAAGGUUUGGACCAGAUUCUAAAAGAUCAGAAAAACGUUUCUAGGAUUUUCCCAAAGUUUCAUUAUCUUUUUGUUUAAAAGAUAGGACUUCGAGUCUAAGGUCACCGAUACGGUCGAGGGAAUAAAAAUCUAGACAAAAGUUGGCUCGUAAAACUCCCCAUUCACCUCGUUGUUGACUUACCUUGUGAUUAUAAGAUUGUCUAGCUUCUCCCCUUAAAGAAAAAGGAAAAAAGCUUCCAACGUAAAGUUUUAUGAGAAAUGCCUUCAUUGCGAAGACAAUCACAUGUUUGCUCAAAAUCUCUAAUAUGAAGGUAAGGGUUCUCGUCUUCCUUUCCUGAAAAAGAUAGGUUUUGAAUCAUGGCAAUUAACCUGGAACUUAACCUAUAAUGGGAUGUUUGGAUAGGCUGUGAUGAGUCCCAUGGUAAAAGGUCAGUUUCCGAAGGUGUUGCAAAUUGAUAGAUUGAUUUAGAAUCUUAGUUUUCCAUAAGGUAAGAAUAAAGAAAAUAAAUAAAGAAUAUAAAAGAUAAGAAAAGAUAAAAUUAUAGAUACAAACUAGUAGUAAGACUCAAGGUUAUCUCAGCAAACCGUCUUUCUCCCCGGCAACGGCGCCAGAAAUGCUUGUUGAUAUUUGGGAACGCAAUAAGGAAUUGAUCCGCAAGCGCAUGGAUAUCGGUGAGCACUUCACCCGGGAUGUUAUCCAGAGUAUCGUAUUUAUAUUUUUACCACUAGAAGAAAGAGUGCAUCUGACUAACCCGGUCUAUUACCACUAACCUUUAGGCUACAAAGAAUGUUUCUCGAUGCGAGCGAUGUAUAGAGAAGACUACAACCAUAAUAUCUUUCUAACCUUGGUAAGGAUGAUCUACUAUUCUAUUGGAGAGGCUCACGGAAUCUAGACACCAUAGAGGAUGUUCAACCCACACCUAUAAACCCUAUCCAUCCUGCUAACGAGAUAUGGUCUGCAAAGGUAACUUAGAAAUGUCACGUUCCUCGCUACUACCACGGUCCAGCUAGUCAGGGCAUAUCUAUGAGUAUCCUAGCCCAAACAACACGUUUACACUAGAGAUGAUUACUCUAAACUCUACGCGAAGAGAUCAAAGUAAACUCAUAAACCAAAGAACAAUAAAACAAGAACUUACUAGAAUUUAGAAGUUGAAAUACUGAAGAAUCCUAGGAACAAGCUUCGGGUUAGGAGAACUUGAUCCCACCGGUACAACCUCGGAGUAGACACCGACAGGCCGGGCUUCCUCCGAUCUACACUUCCACUCUAUCUCUCACAAUCUAGUAACGAGAUCCAGUCUACUCUCACAUUAGAUGCUAAGCCCUAAGUCUAUUUAGAGGAAAGGUUAUCCUUCGAGGCCACCUCUCCACUCUAUGAUGAACUUGUUCUCCUCCAGGGCCAGGGGGUCUACUUAUAUAGUCCCCUCUGGUGAAUGUGGGCCGUCGGAUCAAACCGACAUUGAUUGAAUGGUUAUCCUUGAUCCUUUAGGUUGGUGGAGCGUGAUCCGCGAAGUUGGCCGUGAUUGGGUACAAUUCCAGGGCGGGCGCCCUAGGGGGGAGGGCGGGCGCCCUGCCCCCGGGCCCGAUUGCCUUCCCGUUCGUUCCUGUGGCUUUUGGAGUCUUCUAGAUGGAAGAAAAUUGCGCGGUGCGUUAAUAUCUCUAUGUAAUCCCAACAUGUGGGCCUUUCUUCCUUAUUUCCUGAUAACCCCCUGCAGAAACAGAUAAACAACAAAACUCGUGGAAUUCUGUCAGAUCAAACCCUAAUUCUAGGUGUUGUUUGUAUAUUGGUCCUUUCUCUUGUUUAUUUGAUAAUUAAAAUUGAUACUUAAGAACUGUCAACACUUACGGAUCAUUUCCUGAUGGCAUUAACAAAUAUCAACAGUGACUGCGGCCAUUAUGUUGACGCCCGAUCCGGUGUCGCAAAGUGUCUUGUAGAAGUUGUACCCAUUGAUGGAGCAAUGGAUGCUUGGCAUACCUAGGUCGUCCUUCUUGGUCAGGAACGGUGAUUAAGUCGAUGAUCUUGACCUGCAUGAACUGCAGUGACCAUCUUAGCUGAGUCGGUCCACACUUGCUUGUUCCUGUUCCUCCUGUUGGUCGUCUUCCUUGGUUCAUGUCGGGAUUGCUCUGGGAUUUGUGUAGUCUUGUUCUUGAAGGAAAACGUCUCCUUCCUCCCUUUGAUGUAGAAACUGAUCUUGGCAGCACUAGCAAAGAUGACAGCUCCUGAGGUGUUCGGGAAUGGCCUCUCUAAGAUGAUGGGUGCCAUCUCAUCAUUAUCGGUCUCUAUCACCACGAAGUCUACUAGGGCAUACAAGGUACCAUCUCGGACACAGAGGUUCUUCAAUAUUCCCUUUGGGAAACUUAACGUCCAAUCUGCAAGCUGCAAACACAUGGUUGUUUCUAAGAAAGAAUAUGUAAUGAAAUUUUCAUAGAGUACCCUGGGCAUAAUGUUGACACUAUAGCCAAAGUCGCAGAGUGCUUCUGGAAAGUCCACCAUGUCGAUGGAGAUCGGGAUGAUGGGGCAUCCUGGAUCGCCUCUCUUGACCGGCAGAAGGUCAGUAGUAACUUCCGCAACGGGGUUACUCCAGUAGUUACCUGUAUCAAACUUGUCUACAAGAUUUGCAGAUUCUAAUCCUUCGGGUUGUGAUGGUAUACCGGGGUUAGUAGUAGGAACAACAGCAGCUAUUUGAUUUAAUUGAGAUUCAAUCAUUUUAUUAAAGCUAAUUUGAUUCUUGAUGGCAGUAGAGAAAUUAUCCAUUCAAAUUUUUAUAUUUUAUAGCAUAUUAUCAUUAGAGGCCAAUUUCUUAGAUAGGUUAUCCAAUAGUUUUCCUUAAUUAGACACUAACUCUCUCAUAGGUGGAAAAUUAUUAUUAUUGUUGUAAGAAUUGUUACCUUGAUAAUUACCUGAGAAGUUAGGCCUCUGUUGAUUCCAACCUUUAUUUUGAGGAUGGUUGUAAUAGUUGUUGUUGUUGAUGUAGUUCACGUCCUCCAGCACCUCAGGGCAAUGAUUGCCUGAGUGUCCAGUAUCUCCACACUCCACACAAGUCAUGUGAGAGUCGUAGACGUGCAUGACUUCUUUCUUACCUCUGGCUCUAUCAUCGAGCUUCUUCAUGAGGAGGUCUAGCUUGGCAGACAGCAUGUCUACCUCCUUGAGCUGGUGCAUACCUCCUCCUCUCUUGCGUGUCUGGGUCCUUUCUUCAUUCCAGUCUUGGUUGGAUGCCAUCUUCUCCACAAGAGCUGUGGCUUGUGGUAUGGUGAGUGACAGGAAUGCUCCUCCAGCUGCAGCAUCCAUGGUCUCACUGGCACUAUUGCCGAGCCCAUGAUAAAACAUCUGCAUCAGUAGCCAGCUCUCCAUUCCAUGAUGGGGACAUUCUAGGAUUUAGUCUUGGAAGCGCUCCCAUGCUUUUGGAACGGAUUCAUCAUGUUGUUGCUAAAAACUUGUAAUUUUCCCACGGAGAGCAUUGGUCUUGCCCAUGGGAAAGAAUUUGUGGAGCAGAGUGCCCACGUAGUAUUCUUCUCCUUUGUAGCGUAGAACCACUACUUCGCUCUCCCUAACAGUGAGAAUGGGAAGAGGCGAAGUAGUAUAGCAUCUCUAGGGACUCCUGAUAUGGUGAAUGUGCUGCAAAUAUCCAGGAAGUGUUGGAGAUGAGCACUAGCAUCUUCGUGUGCCUUCCCACAGAACUGGUUGGACUGCACCAUGUUGAUAAGUCUAGGCUUGAGCUCAAAGUUGCCGUCGAUCUCUACUGUAGGUCCAGUGCGGAUGUUGUCCGUAGUGGGAGCUGAGAACUCACGGAUCGAUUUGUUCACCAUGACUUCGAACUCUGAAGACAAGUUCCAUGUGAAACUUUGGUGAUCUUCUUGGUUGGAUGAAGCUUCAUGCUGAAGUGUUGACGAUGCCUUCUUGAGCUUGGCUCUUGUUUUUCUAAAUAAUGCUUCGGGGUUGUUAACAAAAUUUCCUGGGAGAUGUCUUCUAUUCAUACAUUACCCUGCAUAAAAUAAAAUAGAAAAAUACCAGGGUAAAACUGUAUGAGAGAAUUGAUAAUCUCAAUCAUAUUAGUGAUGCGAAUGAUGACUCCAAAUUCCAUAUUCAUUCCUGAUUAGUAAUCAACCUUCCCCGUGAAAGGUCCUUGUUUGGUUUUGGUAAUUGAGUGACAACUUAGGUGGACUAAUAGUGUUUAUGUGAGAUACACAGGAGAUUAGUCACAGGUGAUUAUGUGAUGAUGGAGGAGCUCAUUGCAUAUGAGACAUGACAUGGAGUCAUGUGACCAAGGUGGAGAAGAUCAAGAUGAGGCUUGGCUCGAUGGACUGGUUGCAAGAGUGAAGGGCAAGUCAGAGGAUUUGAAGCGAGGGACCGCGUGUGACGGUGAAGCUUGAGAAAGACUUGGCGCCGAUGUACCGAGGCAACGGUGAAGAGCAAGUGAGGUCAAGAUCGACGAUCCAAUACGGUCACGUGAUGAUAUGAAGUGGAUCAUAUCAUUUGGUGAUUGGUUGGUGCAUGUGUUCCAUCAACAUUGGAGGAGAUGGAAUGGAAAGUGCAAGGCAAAGGUAUAACCUAGGGCAUUUCCAUUUCACCGGUCAUAGGUGUGUAGAGAAGUUUAUGACCGGAUUUAGGAUAGAUGGCCGUACUAUCAAGAGGGGCAAACUUGUUUGCAUAUUGGUCAUCUAGUGCCACUUGAGCGAUCUAACUUUGCAUACGUGUUAGGAUCGAGUGGCAUGGCAAGUUGAGAGGGUAACUCAUUUGGAAAANNNNNNNNNNNNNNNNNNNNNNNNNNNNNNNNNNNNNNNNNNNNNNNNNNNNNNNNNNNNNNNNNNNNNNNNNNNNNNNNNNNNNNNNNNNNNNNNNNNNGGGUUGAGAGGGGUGUGAGAUUUGGCGCUUUUCGAGAAAGUUAAGUGUAUAUUUUCUAUUGCGCUGGUGGUAAAUUUGGAGAAGUCACGGGAGUGUUUUUCGCACCGGACGCUGGAGUUGGUAGCACCGGACGCUGGUCCAGAGCGUCCGUGUGGUGUCUGUGGCGCAGGUGUGCAUAGUGCACCGGACGGACCGGAGUGAGUCUGGUGCUCAGCGUCCGGUGUGCGGGCGUUUUGGUGUCCCUCUCUGCGCAUGAGUCCGGUGAGCACCGGACGCUCAGGGUGCGUCCGGUGGCUCGUGUCCGGUGACCUUGCGAGUUUGCGGAGCUCUCUGCGCACGGGUCCGGUGUGCUCCGGACAAGUCCGGUGGUGCUGUACAGGCACGCAUGCACAGUAGCCAUUGGCGGCAACGGUCGAGUUCAAACGGCUAGUGACACGUGGCUGACGCCUGAGCACCGGAUGCUAGGGGUUGAGCGUCCGGUGGCUCCCUGAGAGCGUCCGGUGCCCACGUGUUUUUGCCCAGUGAAGGGGCAACAGCUAGUUUAGCUCUUGGGGCUAUAAAUAGAAGUGGUGGCCGGCCUUGGCUGGUGCUGAGCACCCUUGGGACUUAGUGUCCAUGCUUGGGGAUUGCUACUGAAGCCUCUAACUCACAUAUGCUUGAUAGUGAUCAUCCGAUUGUGUGAGUGAGCGAUUCUAGUGCGUUGCAUUGAGAGAUUACAUCGAGUGGCACUAGGUGUUCGUGUUGCAAGGCGGUGGUGCUUGUUACUCUUGGAGGUUGCCACCUCCUAGACGGCUUGGUGGCUUGUGACUCCGUCGAAGCACACAAGGAGUUUGUGCGGUGCUCCGGAGAAGAGAUUGUGAGGGGUACGGUGCUUACCCCGCGGGAUCGCGAAGAGCAACUCUAGUUGAGCGAGACGUGAAGAGCGACAAGUGGUCCGGCCAGGUCAAGUGCUAGAGCUUGUGGUAAGCACUCCACGUGGGAGAGUGUGACUUGCGGGUCACCACUAGCAAGAGGACCGGCGGCAACCUUGGAGCUUGUCUCAACAGGGACGUAGCUUGGUGGCAACCAAGUGAACCUCGGGAGAAAAUCAUCGUGUCAACAUUGUUCUUCCCGUUGGUUUGCAAGUCCCUAACACAAGCUUGUUCUUACACUCAUAUACUUGUGCUUGUGUAGUUGCUCUUUUAAUUAGUUAGCUUGUGUAGCUUGCUAGUUACCUUCUUGCUUGUGUAGCUAGAAGUAGUUCCCUUGCGUGACUAAUUUGGUUUGUGUAACCUUGUUAGUCACAUUGCUUAGUUUGUGUAGCUAAGUAAGUUGCGCUCUCUAAUUUGGCAUUGGUUGCCUUGUUAUUGAGCAGUGCUAGUGAGCUUAGGAGCUUUGUGCUUUUGCUUACUAGUUGUGUAGGAGCUCCUCGGUCUUGCAAAGUACUAAUGGCAUAGGUUUGUGUGACAUUGCUCCUAGAAUUGGUUAGGUGAGCUCUUGCUAAGGUAGCACCUUGUUUGCUUGUUUAGGAUCUUUUACAAGGUGCUAGAGAACUUAGAUAGAGGGGUGUAGUCUUGGCUAGACUGAUAGUUUUAAUUCCGCAUUUGUUUUCGGUUAGCCGGUGUAAUAAAUUUUAGAAAGGACUAUUCACGCCCCUCUAGUCCGCCAUCUCGACCCUUCACCCCGACAACGGCGCCAAAAAUGCUUGUUGGGCAUUCUUAACGUCAUUACCAAAAGUAGACUUAGUUUUCUAAUUCUGAUAACGGCGCCAAAAAUGCCGAACCUAUCCCUAGUGCCACUUAAGCCAAGUUGUCAUCCCCAGCAUGAUAUGAGAGACGCGGUAUUGAAAUAUGCAAUUGCUCUUCUAAAUAAAUAAUAAAUGAGAUCUACAAGCGCACAGAUUAAUACAGAUGUAGCAUUUUAACUGGGAAAUAUUUCAGGUAUCGUUAUUUAUAUUUUUACCACUGGGAAGGGAUUUCUAAUCAUCAAUGUUGAUUAUGGAAUGGAAUAUAGAAUUGAGUAUCCAUCAUUGCAUUUGUAAUAGAGAACAUUAUCUAUCUCUUUCAUACAGGGAUAAAUGUCACAUAAAAUAUAGAUAAAGUAUGAAUGGUGACAAAGAUAAUUAAUCUGAUCAGCAUAACUAGCCACAUAUAAUAAUGAUAAGCACCUCAAUAGAUAUUGUAGCAAGUCAUUAGCAUGGAAUUAGGAUGAACUACAAGAAUAUUUCCUAAGUUAUUCUUAACUAUAAAGUCUAGCAUAUCAUAGUUAGUGCAGUUAUACUUCGCAAUCAUUGCGAGACAGGACUACGUCCAUGCAUAGUGAUAUUAUCAAGGAAGAUGAGAAACAUAGCAAUCACUCCCCUGUAAUAAUGUUGCUCUGCCUGCCCUAUACACGAGAGGGGGACUAUAUAAGAAUCAAUGGAGCUGUCACUACCAUGAACUACCUGUUGGGUAUUCUUAACGUCAUUACCAAAAGUAGACUUAGUUUUCUAAUUCUGAUAACGGCGCCAAAAAUGCCAAACCUAUCCCUCAUACCACUUAAGCCAAGUUGUCAUCCCCAGCAUGACAUGAGAGAUGCGGUAUUGAAAUAUGCAAUUGCUCAUCUAAAUAAAUAACAAACGUGAUCUGCAAGCGCACAGAUUAAUACCGAUGUAGCAUUUUAACCGGGAAGUAUUCAAGGUAUCGUCAUUUAUAUUUUUACCACUGGGAAGGGAUUAGCAAUCAUCUAUGUUGAUUAUAAAAUGGAAUAUAAGAUUGAGUAUCUAUCAUUGCAUGUAUAAUUGAGAACAUUAUAGAAUUACCAAGAAUCCUCUUGACAGAUCCAGAAACUAAUCGAAAAUUGACUCCUUCUAGUUCUAAUCCUAUGUAGCUAUGCUAAUCUAGAUGUCUAAUUGAUGUGGUGGCUCUAGGCUUGAUCAGAGGCUUCUUCUCCCUUGAUGAAUAAUGAAUUAGGGUUGAGAGGCUCUUUCCUCCAGGGGCCAUGGGGUCUGGUUUUAUAGUCCUUCCAAGUGAAUAUGGGCCGUUGGAUCAAACCGACAUUGAUUGAACGGUUAUCCUUGAUCCUUUAGGUCGGUGGAGCAUAAUCCCGAAAGAGAGUCCUAAUUGAACUCUAAAGGGGGGUGGGCGCCCUGGUCUCUAGGGCGGGCGCCCUGGGCUAGGCCCCAUUCUGCCUCCGCUUCGUUCUCGUGGCUUCUGGAGUCUUCUAGAUGUAAGAUAAUUGCAUGGCACGUUGAUAUCUCUAUGUAAUCCCGACAUGUGGGCCUUUCUUCCAUAUUUCCUGAUAACCCCCUGCAGAAAUAGACAAACACCAAAACUCGUGGAAUUCUGUCAGAUAAAACCCUAAGUCUGGAUGUUGAUUUCAUUUGGAUCCUUUUCUUUGUUUAUUUGAUAAUUAAAUUUGAUACUUAAGGACCGUCAACAAACUCGCCCAAGCUUACCUCUUGCUUGUCCCUAAGCAAGGACAAUCUCACUGAUGGAUCAGAGGUUGCUGCAAUACCUUUUAAAAGUUGACGGUACACAUGCUUUUUAAUAAGGUCUUAUCUCUGAGUUAGAGUAAACUAUCAAGACUUAAAACUUACUUAUUUUACCUUCUACCAUGGGACUUGUAACUGUCACUUCUGUCUUAAGUAGUUAAAAGAUAGAACAGUCUAGUCAAGUGUCAUGUCUCUUAUUCUUGAUGAGCUAUAGCUCUGGAGUUUUUGCAGAUUUUCAAAUAAAACUCAGAGAUUCCUUGUAUGACUCUCUCAGAUCUCUCUUUUGUGGUAUUUCUGGAUCCUUACCAAGGCAGUGAUGGUAUACGCCUUUUCUCAAAGUAUGUAGUAUUUGUGGUAUAAGGCAUAGUGACAUUGCCUUCUCUCUCACCCCACUCUAAUAAGACUUUAAUAUCUGGAGCUCCUAGGUGGGAGAUAAAGUAUACAUACUUACAAGACAUUUAUUGUAUAGUCAAACCAUGGAUCUAGAGAAACAAGUCAAUAAGUAAAAUUAACAUGUGCAUGUGUGGCGAAUGAAUGGUGUAUGGUGAUGAUGGUGAUAACAAUUGUGAAAGUCUAACUCUAAUUUUGCUCUUUGAGGGGAUACAUACCUUCCUUGCUUUUUGAAACUUUGUGAGGAGAAUGAGAUGCUCUAUAUUUUUCUUUUUCUUUCCUCUCAGGUGGGUAUUUUGUACCCCUAAUUCUAAUGUCGGACACUUGUCCAUUUUUACCUCUUGUCUCACUUUUUCUUUUCUUUCGAGGUUCCGGGCACUUGCCCCUUUUUAUUUACUCGUAUUUUUUUCUCUCUUUUUUUUAGAGCACUCAUCUCUUGAAAAUAGUGUAGCAAGUGGUAGUAACCAAGAUAACUUGAGCAUUUAUUUCACAAGGGAAAACAGAAAUGUUUUUGGCUAUUCUCUUCUGGAUUAGGAGUAGAGUAUUUUUGGGUGGUUCUGGAGAUGGAAAUGAGUGCAUAUAUGUGAAUGCGUACUUUCGGAGUAGAAGCAGCAUGUGUGAGUGAACGUGCAAGUGAAUCUUGAUUUAACUACAUGACAAGCUCCUAAGGGUCUACACAACUUGACCACACUCAAUGCUCAUAAGCAGUAAAGUAAAUGUGUGGCUCAAUGUCUAGCAAGCAUGUAUGUAUGGCUGUGGUAGGAAUUUAAACUUUCAUCUUACAGGAACUCAUCAUGCAAUAUUUUAAAGAUUUUCAAAGAUAAAAUUCUCCAUAAUUCUAGCAUCUCUAGGGACAGAUAAACAGCAGCUCAACCUUCCCAUAUCAUAUCAGUUAACAACUUAGACUUCAGAUCAAGUUUUCUUCCCACAAGUUCAGAUUUAGAGCAAGCUUUAAAUUAUAACAGUUAUGUCUAAACUUGAGUGAGAACUUCAAAUUUUAAAAAUUAGGUUGAGAAACUAUUCCUCAUAUCCAUGCUAGAGUUUUAUUAUUUAGGAUUCAGUUUAGCAUAGCCACUUUAUUUAUUUAUUAAACACACUAAGCAAAAGAUAUAUAUAUAUAUAAGCAUAAAAUCUUUAUUUGGUUUUCCAUAGUUAUGUAUAUUUAUAUAAGUAUAAGUAUAAAGAAAGAUAGAAAUACUUAGCGGGAUAAAUGGGGGUGCUCUCUCCCAAGCUGAAUUUUGACGUAAUUUCUUCUGGUGUAGCUAGCAGGUGGCAGAGGUGUAUUUGAAAGUCGACAGUACCCUAACAGUGAUUAGAAUAUCCUCCGUCUGCUAGUCUUCUUGAUUCUUAAAUUCUGUGGAGCUCAAAUAGACAACAAAGCUUUGUGGAACUGAUUAAGUGUUAGCAUAAAUAUCUAGCCUUUGUCAUGUUGAGACUCCUCAAUAAAUGUUACUCCCUAUUUUUAUAUUUUCAUUUUAUAAAGCAGAAAAGAAAUAUUUAUUUUCUUUUUAUGCCAUCACAGUGAAUGUACUUAUGGGUUUCAUGCCACUCGUAUACUCACAUGGGGCUUAUUGUUUUUUAACAUUUUUAUUUUCUUUUUAGGAUAGUACUAACAUAAUUAACUAAGUAAACUUUUUGAAAUAAUUGAAAGGGAAAGGAUAACUACCAAGUUUACCUCUUGGCAAGGCGUUCGGUGUUUUCAAGUCCUCCGAACAUGACUCUCCAUUUUCUAGUUGUCCUGGGAUUUGUUGGGUGGCGUAGUCGGUACUUCCAGCAGCGCCUCCUCUUCAUGUAUAGUUAUCUUCUCUCUCCACACCUGACUCGGUGCUACAGUCUCCUCUAGAUAAUUCUGUUUAAACUGUAUGUCUUCAGACCUUAUCACUUCUCCUUCGUAGUCUGCCCAUCCGUCCUUGAUGAUUUUCCUCCUCUGGUUGCGGUUGCGUCAUUUUCUAACCUGCUUAGAGUCUUCAACGAUAUAGUUAGGGUCAGUAAAAUAGCGGCGUACCUUCUCUGAGGGGAAGUGCAUAUGGACUUCUCCGGUUCCAAUAUAGAUGAUUGCUUUAAUGGUGCUGAGGAACGGUCUUCCAAGGAUGAUGGGUGGAUCAUACUCAUCUUCUCCCAUGUCAAUAACCUGAAAGUCUGUGUAGACAAAAUGAUCGUCUAUUUUGACAGGAACAUCAGUUACUAUUCCUUUAACUUCUCGAAACGUCUAAUCUGCCAUCUGGAGUUGAAUGUAUGUUGGUUUUAGGGGCAUGGUUCCGAACAAAAGCCGAUAGGUGACUGCGGCCAUUAUGUUGACGCCCGAUCCGGUGUCGCAAGUCAUCUUGUAGAAGUUGUAUCCAUUUAUGGAGCAAUAGAUGCUUGUCAUUCCUGGGUCAUCCUUCUUGGUCAGGAACGGUGACUUAAGUUGAUAAUCUUGACCUCCAUGAACUGCAGUGACCAUCUUAGCUGACUCGGUCCACACUUGCUUGUUCCUCUUCCUCCCGUUGGUCCUCUUCCUUGGUUCAUGUCGAGAUUGAUCUGGGAUUUGUGUAGUCUUGUUCUUGAAGGAAAACGUCUCCUUUCUCCCUUUGAUGUAGAAACUGAUCUUGGCAGCACUAGCGUAGAUGACAGCUCCCGAGGUGUUCAAGAAUGGCCUCCCUAAGAUGAUGGGUGCCCUCUCAUCAUUACCGGUCUCUAUUACCACAAAGUCUGCUGGGGCGUAUAAGGUACCAACUCGGGUUCUUCAAUAUUCCUUUUGGAAAACUUAUCAUCUGAUCUGCAAACUGCAAACACAUGGUUGUUUCUAAUAAAGGAUAUUUAAAGAAUUUUUCAUAGAGUACCCUAGGCAUAAUGUUGACGCUAGAGCCAAAGUCGCAGAGUGCUUCUGGGAAGUCCACCAUGCUG
rnacentral:lncRNA from 1 species